AAUGAGAAGUUUAUUAGAUGAUAUACGUGGGCAACUGUGGUUAACGUUAGCCUUUGAUCCUUAAUGCAUAGCAAGUCUGUACGUAGAAAUCUACGACCCUACAAACUGCUCUCAGCAAGUCUCAAUUGCCACUGUAUUUGUCUGGUGGCCUGAGCUUAAAGCAUUGGUUCGCCCACCUGGGCUUUUAUUCGAGGUUCCACAUGGGCUUUGGACUCGUCGGUCUUUCAAAAAAAAAAAGAAAAAAGUAAAAGAGUUGGCAGCCACUGAAGAAAUGGACGGUGUAACUGUUGAGUAACGACUUUAGACCAAGAAUAGUAUAACCGUUUUCUUAUCCUCGUACGUUACCAUAUCCUUUCCCUUCCCACACUCUCUCGUCUCGUCUCAUCUGUUGACUUUUUUCCCUCUAACCACCACCGCCCAAAUAAGGUCUACGUUUAGCUAUAGUAUUAUUAUUUAUUAUUUAUUUUCAUUUUUAUUAUUUGGUUCGGACGAAAAACUAUUGACAGAAAUUUCGCCACAUGAGACAGUUGGCUGGCUGGCUCCUAUUACCGAUCAUCGUAUGGGAAUUUCCUGGAUGGAUCAAUGGUCUCAUCUGCUAGCUUUGCAAAGGAGCUACCUACCUUAUCCCUUUAUUAUUUAUUUAUUUGCAAUUUGAUUUUGACAGUGUGACCACUUUUUUCUACUCAAAUAGUUGUGCUAAUUGCUAAUUAAACACCCCCAACUCCAUCCUUUUGUUCACACUCCUCAACUGCGUCAAUCCUCUUAACUGGGAGGGGUCCAUGCCUUAUCCACAUCCCCACACAUAUAUAGUUGGGGAGUUGGAUCAAGUUUAGGUGGAAAAGAAUUAAUGCAAAGUACUUUGGACCAGAAAAAAAAGAAAAAGAAAAAGGAAGCUGUCGUAAGAUUUGGACCAGAAGAAGUUCACCUGAAAUUAUAGCACCAACCAAUCGACUCAUCUUUGGUGUUUCUAGUCUAGCUAUGUAUGCAUUGCUUAGUUGCCAACUUGCCAAGCUAAUUAAUUCUCAAUUAAAUAAGUAAUUGACUACCCCCCACGUCUUUCAACGGACACUAAAUUGCCAUUUGCCUAUACAUGUUUGUCCCAUUUGUUUCCAUUAUCCGUUUCGUUUUUUCAUGGGUGGUCGGUUGUCUCUAGAAAAACAGUUUACCCAACCAUGCAAGCCUCCCCGUGUAAUCUUUUUAGCUCACAGUCAAGUCUAUUUUUUAGGGUUUUAAUCCUGAAUGAAAGAUCUCUCUCUAAAAUAUAUCCUCUAUAAGUAAUUUUGUCUCAAAUAUAUAUCCCAAAACAAGAUCCUCAAAAUUAAAUUGAGGUUGUCAUCUUAUUAUAUGUUAGAGUACUAUUGCUUUUUAUUCAAAGUUUAUUUGAGUUGACAAGCACCAUCUCGCUGUCCCUCUUUCUUUCGCUGAUAAUUUUAUGCUAACUAAAUACAUAUACCUAUUUUCUCAUCUAAUCUAAACGAAUUAUGUAUUAAUAUAUAUAUAUAUAUAUAUAAGUAUCAACUAUUUGAAACAUUUAUUUUUUUUCAGUUUUCCCCAUGCAUGCAUGCAACAAAUAUUGUCGCAAUAUUAAUCCCCAUGCAUGGAGUAUAUAUAGUAGUAUAGUUAGUCAAAUCUUUCAUACGUAUUGAUGAUACUGCCCAAAUGUUUUGCUCUGAAAAGACCUAGACUGAGAAAACCUUUUUUAUUUUCUGGCUGCAAAUAAUUAAUUUACAAACAUGUGUCGUGGAAAUUGUAUACUGAGAAGCUAUGAUGAGUAUUGUUUUGGUGGAUGUGAGGAGAACGUACAUGUGUUGCCGUAACACAUAAUUAAGUAUGUAAUGAUAUCUCAGCAUGUGUGACAGACUAAGAUGGUUUUGUAGUAUUCGAUCGACUAAAAACAGUACAAGAUUAAGUUUAGUCAACAAUAUAAUUAUUAUAUUUAACAAUAUAAUAUCUUGCUAAUGUCAUCAAAUAAUAUCUUGCUCAUGCAUAAUAAUAAUUUAGGAAGCUUCAAGAAGAAGAAAAUCUGGCCUCCCUCCACUAUAUUUUAAUUAUCUUUUGUAAAAAGAAAAUAACGGAAGUAAUUAAGCAUUUUCCUAACCCAGCUGUACCUGAAAGAUUGAUAUGGUGCGUGGUGGUGGUGGUCGUGGUCGUGGUCGUGGUCGGUUUAUAGGUGCCUUAGCCGUGUUGCAAGACACGUGUCACUUGUUAGCCAACUUAGGGUGAUUUCCAGGAUGUUACUAUCCUUGAGUAACGGUCUUAAGACCGUUCUUCAGCCCAUUUAAAUAUUCAAAUUAGUGCUUUCUAUUUUAGAUUUAGUUCUAAACUUUUCUGUCACCUAAAGGCUAAAGCCAAACCUCUUUACCUUGAUCUCAAAAAAGGUUUGUGACCCCCCCAUUUACAAAAAAGAAUUUAUGAAAGAGUAUUGUAAUGAUUUUAAUUCCUACUUUUCUGUAAGAAUAAUUUAAAUUUGUGACUUCCUCACAUUUAUUUACUAAACAUACAUAAUAAAAAAUAAUGUGAGUUCAACGUUAAAAUAAAUAAUUAAAUAUUUUCAAAAUUAAUAAUGCAAUCAACUAAGAAGAAUAGUUCAUCAAAUUCUAAUUCCUGAAUUUCUCCAUCUGAAUUUCCUCAUUGCCAAAAAAAAAAAGUAAACAUAAAAAAUAAAAAAUAAAAUAAAAAAGGGUUUCGUGUGAAAUGGAAAGAUUUUAUUCAUGCUUGAACUACGAUUUCUAACCGUUAAUUAAAUAUGAAUAUCGUGUUCAUCAACAGUCCAAAUUUAGAAGCAUAACUGUUGAGAUAGAAACUAGACUGUUUCACUGUCACUUGUCAAAAGUUGCCAACUUGACAAAUUAUCAUCAUGCCAUGCCCACGAUUGACGAAGAAAAAAUGUCACUCGCAUUAAGAGGAGACUCUAGCGUCCAGCUCUUUACUAUAUCUGAUACGUGGUCCCUUCUACGUGGAUAUUCCUCCGACACACCACAAGUAGGCCCGCCCCGAACAUCUAAGCCGUUCCUUCCUCCUCAGAAAGAUCCAACGGUUCAGGUCCCAUCAGAAAAACGCGUCCGUUACUCUCCCUCCUCCCUCCCUCUAUAUACAUAUGUAUCUCCAUGCAUUAUCACUCAAUCCACCAGGACUACCAAUUACUUCUCACUACAAACACAACAUUUUUCUCAGUCUUAAUCCCUCACCAUAAUUAAGUAAAUAAUUAAGACUUGAUUAUAAUUAUAAAUCAAAAUGGCGUGGAUUGCUUCUUUGAAGAUUGUGCUAAUUUCGAGCGGCGUGGUGGCGUUGGCGUGGGCUAUGAAGCUCUCCGUUCCACUGGUGAUGGAAUUCGUAGCCUCUCACUUGCCGCUCGUGUGCGCCUCCUUCCGAUCCUUGCUCAGGCCUCCGUAUAUUUACGUUCUCAUCAACGGCAUCAUCAUCACCAUCGUCGCUUCCUCGAGGUUCCACAACGACCGCUCGCCUCAGCCUAAGCCUCAACCGGAAGAGUCUGAAUCGACCGUCUCGGAGACGCCGGCGGUUUACGAGCAGCGGAGAUAUCUAGAGCCUCUAGUUCAUGAGGAGGUGCACGAGGAGAGGCCUGCGGUGAUCAAUGGCUCUGUAGAAGCAGAGCCUGAGCCGGAGGUUAAAGAUGUACGUGUAGACGAAGACGAGGUUGUGAUCUCGAGCUCCAAGUGGACACCGCCAAAGAGUGUGAUGAAAUCCGACGAGAUUGCUUCGCCGGAGGUUGAAGAUGUUCGUCUAGAUGAAGACGAGGUUGUGAUCUCGAGCUCCACGUGGACGCCGCCGAAGAGUGUGAUGAAAUCCGACGAGAUUGCUUCGCCGGUGGAGAAACCUCUGGUUUCUGUGAGAUUCAGCCACCGGAAACCGGCUAGAUCCAGUCCUGAAGGUAUUUAAUUCUCAAUUUCGUGGUCGUAAUUUUCUGUUUAAUUAAUAUAAUCGUAAUUAGCGUCUAGGUUUAGAGCUUCGUUUGCCGGUAGUGAAGUAACGGUGUUGAAGUUUGAAAACAGUAGAGUUCAAAUGUGGCGUGCGUAUAUGUCUAUUUCGUACACCGUGCGAUUGAAUUGUCUAUGAUACCCUUUUAAAUGAACGGUUGAAAAGUAAAAAAUGCUCUGGCUCAUAAGGGUACAGUGGUCAUUUAGCGAUUUAUUAACCGGGAAACAUUUUGACAGGUGGGAAGCCGUUGAGAGUAGCGAAGCCAAAACGGCACGACACAUUGGAGAACACGUGGAAAGCGAUAACGGAAGGGCGUUCGAUGCCGCUGAGCAGGCACAUGAAGAAGAGCGAGACGUGGGAGAAUCACGGCCGUCAAGUUCAACUGAAGGUUGACUCAGCAGUGGACACGUCAGCGGUGCUGAACUCAGAGACGUUCAAGGACUGGACGAAUCAGCAGCAAGUGACAGCAUCGGCUGGGUGCGUAGGGAAGCUGAGGAAAGAGCCGUCGCUGAGCCAGGACGAGUUGAACCGCCGAGUUGAAGCGUUCAUAAACAAGUUCAAUGAGGAAAUGAGGCUGCAGAGACAAGAGUCGUUGAAUCAAUACAUGGAGACGGUCAAGCGUGGAAGCCAAUAAUCACAUAUAUGGUCAAAAUUUAUUUUUUUGAUUUUUCUCCUAAUUUAGUCAAAAGAGAUUUUUAAAAUUAGAUUGAAAUUAAUUUUAAUCAAAAAGAAAAGAAAAAGAUGGGAGUUACAAAUUCACAAUUAUUGUUUUUUGGGGGUUGUUUGUGUUUUUCAAAGUUCCAUUCGAUUCAUAAUUCAUGUAAGGAAGUUAUAUAGUCAUAGAAAAGGAAGGAAAUAUUUAUAUUUAUAAGUCAGUCAGUCUCUGUCUGUAAAGAAAGAAACCUUUUUUCUUUUCUUCUCUUUUUGGUUGUAUUGUAAAGGAAGAAACUUUAAUCUAUUUAAGUAUUUUUGUUGUUGUUGUAACUUGUAUGUAUCUUCGUCUUGAUUGUGUAGUUGUCAAAUUCUUUUUCUCUUACUUUAGUCUUUGGCAAAACCAUAAUUUUGAAUUUAGUGAAUAAAAAACUUAAAAUUAGUGAGAUAAGAAACUCCGCUCCGAGACUUCUGGAAACUCACUAGUCCAUAAUUAUGAUUAGUCAAAAUAUUUAGUGACUGAGUGACCUAAACAUGGCUUUCCAUCUGUCUAAAUUAUAUGAACCCUACGCUAUAGUUUUGGGUGAAGCUCAUUAAUUUAUAAUUGAUUUGCUUGCUUGGUUCUUAUCCAAACCCACAAUGAAUGACGCAUUAUUUUUCUUGUUGAGAACUUGAGAAUGAGAAGAGUUAUUUAUCCUAGGCUUAAUUACAUCAAUGCUCUUGAAAUUUAGGUCAAAUUUCAUUUUAUCCCUCUCAAACUUAAGAUGACCUACUUUCAUCUAUUGAUCGAGAUUUAAUGACCCACUUUACUCUCCUGCUGUCAACUUCAUUAAAAAAUAUGUUAACUUUGAUGAUGUGACAUGGAUGUUUUUGUAAUUUCGUAAACAUGGAUUACUAUCCACCAAUUAAGUGGGUGAUGUGGCAAGUGGAACCCACCUCCAUAUAAAUAAAAACAUAAUUAAAUAUGCUAAUAAUUAAAAAUUAAAUAAAAGCUUAAAAUCUACAUUUAAAAAAGAAUAAAAUGCCGAAAACCGAAGAAUCACAACCAUCACACCCAAGCAAGACACAGCCACAACCACCUCUCCGGAACUACUUCUUCAAGAAGUUUUUUUUUUCUUUUUCCCCAUCAAUCUUCAAGAAGUUCAUGGGAUAAAAAAAAAAAAUAUGACAAUUGAAAGCUCAUCAUUGGAAACCUUUAGUUUUGUGGGUGACCAUUGGACUAACCAUUAAAGCAUUCUAAUUUUCCCACUUUUAGAUGGAGUUGACAGCAGGGGAUAAAGUAGGCCACCAAACUUCGGUCAAAGUAUGAAAGUGGAUCAUUUUGGAUUUGGAGAAGCAAAGUGAGAUUUGACCGAAAUUUCAAAAGGCAUCGGUGUAAUUAAGCCCUUAUCUUAGUGGAAAUGGUUAAUUUCAAUUUAGUACUCCGAACUCUUACCUUUAAAGCACAUUUGCCCAUGCACUCUCAAUAUUAAAGAUUAUAUACCCUAAACUUCUCAAUCUUGUGCAAUAUGGUUCCAGAGUUAACUUCAUUGUCAAAAUUUUUGUUAAUUGCUUACGUGACAAGUCUGGGUCCCACCUAUUCACUUAUUUCAAUGUCAAUUCUUUAUGGAUGAGAAGACACCAAUUACCCGAAAAUACUCAUCAACUGACAUCGAAAUAAGUGAAUAGGUGAGACCCAUACCUGCCAUGCAAGCAAUUAACGGAAAUUUUGAUGUCAAAUUUAACACCGGAACCAAAUUGCAAAUAAUUGGAAAGCUUAAGGUAUGUAAUAAUUAAAAUUAAGAGUAGGGACAAGCAUGCCUUAAGAGUAAGAGUUCAGGGUACUAAUCGAAAUUAACCCUAAUAGAAAUGUAGUAACUUCAUUCCGUUGAACCUCUUUCAAAAUCUGCAAACAACAAGAAGCCCCUUUCAGACUCCGCUACCCAGUAGUAACAUUUUGAGUGUGAACAGAAAACUACAGCUACUUUCUUGCAUAAGAUAUACAGGUCCAAGAUACAAACCAGAAUACAGGGGCCUCAACAGUUAGUCGACAUAUGCAUCAAAAUGUUCUUAAAUCAACCGCCUCGUUUUAGCCUUUUUAUUCUCUCAAGGGCGCCAAGGUGGCUGUCACCGUCCCUGGUCGCAGCAGCACCAUCUCCGCCCUCAUCUUUUUCAGCCUCCUUUCUCUUGUUAGCCAACUCUCCAAAAACAGCAGAUGGGACCUCCUUUUGUGCAAUUUCAACCCCUUCAUCAUCUUCUGAAUCACUUGCAUCGGGUAGCUCAAUGUCUUCAUGAUUUGCAGCAACCUUAAUCCCCCCGUCCGUCUGUGAUUCUACUCCAGCACUCACAAAGCCCACUUUUCUGUUACCAUCUUUGGUGGUAGUACCGUUUGCCACUGGUGCCAACUGCCUCUCUAAAGCAGCCAUUUCAUCUUCAGGAACUCCAGCCUGUUUCAACUUGUCUUUUGCCUCGUCCAUGUUCAACCUCUGAUCCUUUUGCAUCAUAUACUCGGGUAGAAUAAAGUGUGUCUAUAAGAACAAAAAAACAAAAAGAGAGAGGGAGAUUUGAAAUGAGCAAUUGGGGAAUUCUUUUUCUAAGACCUCAAAAGAACCUCUACCUAGGUUGCUGACAAAAAUUAAGGGUAACAAAUAUUUAAGAUAAAAACAAACCUGGCUAUAGCUUGCAGAAACACUUCGCUUAAUUCGAAGCAUCUCUCGGAAGGUAUCUUCAUUUCCAUGUUGCACCUCAAACUCAUGCCAUUUGUUCCAGAAAUCUACAUCAGACCGUGGAUCCGAAAACUGUGAUGCAAAUAUAUAAACUCCCCGAGCACGAUCAAUUUCUCCUAAGCUCUUCUCAAGCUCAGCAUACUUCAAGCACAUUGUCUUCACAUCUUUGUCUGGAAGACCGGAUUCUAUUGCUUGCUCAUAUAUCUCCCUUGUUUUGGGGAUGCCAAAUAUCUCUGCAGCACGGGCAAUGUAGAUUUCAUACAUGCUCAAUUUCUCAUGGUUUGGAACAGCCUUAGUUGCUUCAUCAUAGACCUUCAUAGCGCGCUUUGCUAGACCAUAAUCCUCCUCCAGCUUUGCAAAUUGAAGAUACAGAGGUUUCUUUGCAUCAGCAGGCGCCUGAAAUACCAUUUUCAGGUUAGUAACACAAUAAAAUAAUGAUGUACAAAGGCAACACUCUAGCAUGUUGAACUCAAACCUAAAAAAGAUUUCCAAGUUGUGAAGAGCGCGCGGACACACACACACACACACACACUAAUACACAUCAGUCAGUAGCAUAACAAUUAUCUGCAGGAUUCUGGGUUGAAGAUAUAUCAGGAAGUGUUUCUACGUUUGAGAUAACAGAACAAUUACAAUACUGAAUUAGUCAAGCUUCUUCUUUUUUUUUAAAAAAAAAAUCCAACUCACGCACUCUAAUAAAAUGUAGUAACAUACUCGAAAGUAGCAGACCAGGACAUAAGAAAAACACACAGAAAACCAAUUUACGAUGAUACCUCUGCGUUUCACCUCAACGGAUGGCUCUGCGGUGGCCCGCCUCAUUAGUUCCAGUGCUCCUUUGAAAUUCUUAUGCCUCAAUUCCAUUUCUGCCCACUCACACCAAAGACUAGCCAAAUUAUCCACUGUCUUGUAGUUCACCUGAACUGCUUUAUCAAAAAUCACUCUUGCAUUUGCAAUAUCUUUGUGAUUCUCGUACAACUUAGCAAACGCAACCCACAACGUAUGGGGCUUCCCCACCGCUUUCAUUGGAUCAACUGUCCUCACCGCCUCUGUGUAAGUAAGUAUCUGCUUUGUGGGAUUGCCCUCAAAGAGCUUCACUCUUCGGUGCCACUGCUCUACAUUAUGGGGAUUUUGUCGUAAAAGAACACUAUUAGCCAGUAUAGGUCUUCUAUCCAUAAGAUGCUCCAAUCGAGCCAACCUCAAAUCUACAUCCUUAUCAUCAUGUAACCAAAACCCAUUUAGCAUUUUCUUUUCAAACUCAGCCAAAGACAAGUUAACAUCCAAUCGAAGAUCUUCUUCCUCCUCAUUUCCAUCCUCUUCUAAUCCCUUUUCUUCUUCCUCCUCUUCAUCACUCAAAUCCACUGUCUCCAUCUUAUGGACAAGCAUACUAUCUUCAAACCCAGCAUAAGAAUCAAAAAUUACACUAAAAUCUCUUACCGUUACCACAGUAGUCAUACCCUCCUCAAAUAUAUCCCUAGCUUUCUCGUGCAAAUUCCUCCUAAUGUAAUAGUCUGCCAGUGAGGUCCAUAACCGUCCCACCUCGUCUGUAAAUUUCCUAAUCCCACCUCUAAUAAUAGCAUCUACAUUGAGGCCUGACACCUCCGUAGCAUGCUUAGUAAGCAAAUCACACAAUUCCAGCCACAGCCUAUGUUUCGUUUUCCCCUUUAUCGAAUAAAACUGAUCAUCAUUCAAAACUGAGGCCAGCCUCUCGGCGGCCUCUUGCCAAAGACUAGAAUUUAUCAAGAACUCAAUGAAAUCUUCAAUAUGGGCAGGGUCAUAUUUCAAAUACCUGCGAUAAACCCGAAGCGAGGUCUCAAUUGGGAUACCGGUUUGGCUUACGAACUUCAGGUACGGGUCCCAAAUGCGGUCGUGCUGCGUCACCGGAAGAGCACACAGAGCUCUGUCGAAGGUCCGGCGAGUCCGAGUGACCAACUUCUGCUCCGUCAAAGUUUGCAAGUACAUAGUCCAAAUUUUAGGCAUUUUGUGCAUAGUAACCAGGGCUCUUUCAAAAGUGUUGUUGAGGGUUUCAUACUGGAAGUGAGUGAUGGGUAAAUUGCGAACAAGCUCGAGGCGUUCGCGAAGGUAAGCGUUCCAAAGCUUGUAGCUCCCAGGAAGGGCCUUGAGUGCUCGCUCGUAGAUUAUAAAACGCUUCUUGAAUGGAGAUUCGGAUCGAGCGAUGAGGUAACGCCACCAUAGCUUGAGGCUAAAGGGGUUUCGGAGAAGCUCUUCUUCGUAAAGAAGGUCGUCUUGGGAUGGGUAUAAUUCCUGAGAGAUCGACAUGGCCGAAGUUGCAGACAUAAGAGUUGAUAAUCCCUGGGAAAAGUUUGGGUAUACAAUAAUCGGGAAUUUUGGGUUUGAAAAAACCCUAAAUAUGAGGGUGGAUAGGAGGGAACACAAGCUUCGAUCUACUGUUAACCGGAAUUGGAAUUUGUUACGAAAGAUAAAUUAUUAUUUUUUGUUAUGGCGAAAGAUAAAUAAUUAAGAAAAUAUGUGUACUUUUCUUCUCACUCCAUUCAUAGAGUUGGAAUUUUUAUUUUUUAUUUGCCUAUGUAGAAAUAGGAUUACAUGGAUUGCCGCAAAAAAAAUCCUUACUUGACAUGGAAUACAACUCUAUGAAUGCAUUUUCCUCCGUUUAUUAGGGUUUUCGUGGAACUUUAUCUUUAAUGAGUCGGGUAUAAAAUAUAAAAAUCGAGUAAUAAGACAAAUGUGAUAAAUUUUUCAUGUAUAGAUCCCCUACCUAAACCCUCCUUGUUCAAUCUAUUUUAAUAGUUGGUAUCAUUAUUCUUCAUUUAGAUUUAUACUAUUAACGUUGUAGUUUUGGUAGGCACUAAUUUAGCUAACAAGUUCAUAUUUUAUAUUAGAUUGAUCUAUAUGUUGGGCUCAUAAUACUUCUUUCAAGUUCUAAAAAAUUUGAUAUUUUUGUUAUGGGGCGAGUCGAAAAACCUAAUCCAACGAAAGUGAAGACGAGAAUCCACAAUUUGAAUAUUGCAAAGAUAUAAGUAGGCAUAACGAGAAAAUACUUGAUGAGGAUGGGAAUAUAAAUGGCAUACUCGCUCCAAUUUGCGUGAUUAGCAUCCCUAAAUGUACCUAUUUUGACCCCAAAAAAAAUGCGACUCUAAGAAUUAUUGUUCUGGGCUAAAAGCCCAUUAAGAUUAGGCCCAUUUGGAAGCCAACCAAAACAAAACCAUAUUCUAUGUUCUAAAUGGGCCUAUGGAGGUCCAUGAUGAUAAUGUUCAGAAAGUGACGUAAACGACGCGGUCUGGGAAACAGAGAAAAGAAAGAAGGCCUUGUCGCUUUCCAACUGCUACACGGAGAUGCCGUAAGCAGCAACAAUCAUAUACGCUAACGCACACGCAACCUCCCUCUCUCUCUCUCUUCUCUCUCUUUUGUGUCAUAAUAUCAGACGUUCUUCCUCUUCUUCUCCGAGACGGAUAUACAACGCUCUGUGGCGCGACCCCUCUCUCGAGUUUUUUUCUUUUUUCUUUUUCUUUUUGUAAUUUCAGCUACCCACCUCAGGAGCAGCCCCAAGCUCUCUCCUUUUCUCUAUCCGAGUUUCUCUUUGGUAAUCUCUCAGCUCUCGGAUUUAUGUUACAUUUCUGAGCUCGUUUCACUUUGUGCUGAUUUAUGCUGGCGGUGUUGUUUGGAUGUUGUAAUUCCGUUUUUUUUUCUUUUUAAUCUGCGGGCAUGGCCUCUUGAGAUGAGAAAGCCAUGGCGUCCAUGUUUUCGCAGUUGAGAUUGGGGGCCAUGGCUUUCAUGUUUACAUAGUGAGACUAAUUUGCUUUUCGGUGUGUGUUUCUCUUGCCAAUUUAAGAUACUAUUUGGUUUGGUGUACUGGGUAUGCCAUGGAUGUGUUUUUUCUUUCGUCAAUUUUCUGUGAAGACUUAAACAUUCAUGUAUAUUUAGGUUCCAGAUGAACUAAGGUCUCUCUUAGAUUUCAGAGUUUUUAUUGAGCAUAAUGGAGUCCAAGACAUUAUACCUAUGUUUGUGGUGCUCAAGCUGAAAUAUUUAUAUGUAGGGUGAGAUUUUGAAAAUCAGGGUAGUUUUCUUGGUGUGUGUUUUAGGUUGUGAUCUGGAACUUUUCGCUGUCUAGCUAGUUCCAUUAUUCUAGUAUGCUUCUUACUUGCUAGGAUUAUACAUUUUGCUUUGGUUUUCCCAUGACUUGGAUAAAAUUAGAGACCUAUGUUUGACAUCUUUGUUCUCUGGCCAAAAGGAAAAGAAUAUAAAUCAUCAUUUUUCUUAAAUAAAGAAGUCGAUCCAUAUCUAAGCUAAAUUUUGCAACACACUUUAUUGACUGUAGUUUUCUGUUUUGUAGGCUAGUUAACUGUAAUUCUGACCAUCAAAGACAACUGUAAUUUAUGGUAUGUUAUGAAUCUUUGUACUGAACUUUGUUCUGUUAAAUUAUGUUGAUUUUCUGAGAUGCUAUGAUCUUCUUUUCUCUUUCUGGUUGUUGCGUGAGGGAUAAAUUCUCAUACCUUUUUUUUUUUUUCUUUGUAUGCAAUUCUGUCUUCAGUGAAUAAGGUUCUCUCUCCUUUGCGCGUGUCCCGUUCUCUUCUCCAAUCCUCCACAUACACAAAUCUACCUGAGAUUCUUCUUUUCUAACCCAAAGAAGUAUAUCCAUACACAUUAGUAAAAUGGAGGUCAAGCUGGCGAAUGACAAGCGUGAAAGAGAAAUGUAUGAUAGUUUUGCUGAACUUUACGCCAUUAUAAAGACCACCGAGAAGCUUGAAAAGGCAUAUAUUCGUGAUGUGAUCUCUUCGUCAGCGUAUGAGACUGAAUGCCAAAAGCUCAUUGCCCACUUUAAGACUUUGGCUUCCACGCUUAAAGACACCAUCCCAAGCAUCGAGCGAUUUGCAGAAACAUACAAGAUGGACUGCCCAGCAGCUAUAAACCGCCUUGUGACCUCAGGGGUGCCUGCCACAGUGGAGCAUCGGGCUGCUGCAGCUGCCUCCAUGACUUCCUCAGCUGCUGCUGUGGCAGAAUGCACACAGAAUUUCAUCACUGCAAUGGACUCAUUGAAGCUGAACAUGGUUGCAGUUGAUCAGGUGCACCCGCUGCUCUCGGACCUUUUAACGUCUCUGGGUAAGUUGACCUUUCUGCCACCAGACUUUUUGGGGAAGGUGAAGUUGAAGGAGUGGAUUGCAAGAUUAUCAAAGAUGGGAGCGGCCGAUGAGUUGACAGAGCAGCAGUCUAGGCAGCUUCACUUUGAUCUUGAGUCGUCCUACAACUCAUUUAUGGCAGCUUUGCCAAACUAUGGUACUUGACACAGCUACUUGCAAGAACCUCAGUGAUCUCUCAGAAGGGAUUUACUAAUUUUCUACUGCAUAUAUAAUAUUUUGGGUAUGCCUGAGUUCUGAACUUAGUAAUUAGUAUUGAUAUUUUGUGUCAAUCAUGCCAGAUAUGAUUUUCAAGCUACAUUGUAGGAAAUACUUCAAUUUGGUUUCAUGAUUCUUAAUGGUAUAUGAUCUCAGUGGCUUGAUUGAAUGAAAUGCUCAAUAUCAGGCCAUUUUGUGAAAGCAAAUUGUUUGAUGGAUGAGUGGCUGUCCUCUGUACAAAAAUGAAUAGUUUUUCUACCUUUUUCUUAUUGUGCCUUAAGUUAACAACCACAGGCUUCUCGAAAUCUGAGUUUGGUUAGGUGCACCAGACUGGGGCCUUAUUCUAUUAAACUAGCGUUAGAAUCUUAGAUAGGUGCACUAAUUGUGGCCUUAUUUGUGUUGUUUUAAUGCUGAUAGGAAUGUUGGUUGUAAUAUUAAGGGGUCAUAGUGAGCGCCUUAGAUGAGUCCCCAUCUUUUAGCCGUUGGAUCAAAUUGGUUAGUUGUUGGAUCAAGUUGGUUAGUUUGAUCCAACAGUAAAAAGAUAGGACAUCAUCUAAGGGUCUUAGAAGGCCCUCACUAUAGAAUAACCCUGUAAUAUUAAAGAUCAGAAUAUAUAUAGCUCAGCCCAACCGUUCUCUCUUAAUAGAUUCAUCAAACUCAAAAGGGUGCACAACUUUAACAUUUGAGAGUCUUGGACAAAUUGUAAGAAACUGGGAUUGUAAGAAAUUGGGAAGGGGGAAGGGGGAAGGGGGAAGGGGGGAGGAGGGGGUCAUUCAUAGAAAGCUUAUUUAUGUACAUGCCUCCUAUGCUUUCAAAGUUGUCUCAGAUUACCACAUGUUCUUUGAAACGUCUCAAAAUACCACAUACACUUUUAAUAAUAGUCUCAUGUUACCUGUUCCGCCUCCUAUUAAGAGAAGUUCUAUUAUGUGAUGUGGCCCCCACUUCUUGUGGUAUGGGUCUUCUUCUUCUUCUUCUUCUUCUUCUUCUUUCAGACGAACCAAUUCCAAUAAUCUCCUUCCACCCAAAGCCCAAUCCACAAUUUCCAUCCAUGCCCUUUUGGUCUUCAUCACCCUCCUUCUCUUCACCCUCUCAACCUUUGAACCUACAACCAAGCCUCACCCACUCAUCACAAUAGCCUCCAGAAGAUUUCUCUUCCAAAAAAAUCUCAACCUACCACCAACACAGACCCCAAAUUACUCAACAAACUCACCACGUAACGGAACAUCUCUUAAUACUGAUGGAAUAGGUAACGUGAGACAGUUAUUAAAAGUAUAUGUGGUAUUUUGAGACGUUUCAAAGAACAUGUGGUAAUCUAAGACAACUUUGAAAGCACAUGAGGCAUGUACAUAAAUAAGCCUUCAUAGAAUGAGAUAAAAAUCAAUUACAAUAAUGUCUACAACCCUCGCAUAAGAAUUUCAUGUAUCUACCCCAUCUGCAAAUUUGGUCCCUUUCAUGAUUGGUGGCCCGAGAGACUCAAAAGCUUAAAGAUGCCCAAAUGUGAAUGAACGAACCCAUUGAACCUCCAUAUCUAAGUGUGCUUUAUUUUUGUGUCACAAAUGGAGUUUGUGAGACAUUGAAACAUCACCCCUCGAGAACCAAAAUUUUUUAUUUAUGUAAUUUUUUUUUUUUGUAUCUGAACUCGUGCAAGAUCUAACUAUGUUCCUAUUGUUAGAAUCAGAAUAAAUGCAUGCAUUCAGAGUUCCAAUUAGAACAAAGUAAAAGUCUCCCCCAUUUUCAUCUUCCUACAACAUAUGAGGCAAAACUUGAAUCAAAAUCGGAAUUAGGAGGAGAAUGACGAGGAUUAUUCCAAGAAUUAUAGCAAUGCAUGUCCACUUCCUUGAUUUCUUCUGCUGUUCUUUGGCCUCUUGAAGAUUGUCGGUGCCGCGUCUGACAAACGAGCUAGCAUGCAUGACAUGGCUCUCAAUGUCAUUGAGUUGGUGACCCUGUGCUUCAACCAGAGCAGCCAUGUCCAAGAAUAUCUGAUGGAGCUCAAUCAAAUUCUUCUCAAUCUCCUUCACAGCAUCAUGUCUUUCUUGCAUUUCUGAUAUGGUGUCCAAAAUCUGACCUCUCCCCUGUUCUUGAAUAGCCUUCUGCAGAAAGCUCUCACUUUCUCCACUCGAUAUCAAAUUUUCGAUAGUUUCCUCACUCGCUUUCUCUCCGGUUAUAGUAAAAUACCUGCGUUCUAUUGUUUCUUUAUAUUCAGAUGUCAUUCUACCUCUCAAUCCCUGAAAGUCAUCCAUCAUGUCCUUGAGUUUCUUCCCCAAACCACUAACCACUGAGGUCCUGGUUCGAUCCGCGGAGGAGCCAGGGCCACAACCAGGAAGGUUUCUGUGAGUUGCGUUGGAACGCUCCAAACCUUCAAGCUUUCCCUUUAUGAUUUUGACCUUCUUAAGGACCUGCUCGACAUCCAAGUCCAUGCGGGUUCGGAGCUCUUUCAUGGUUUUAGCAUUGUGCACAGUCUUGCUCUCUUCAUUGGCAUCUUGUAGCUGCUUGUACAGCUUAUCAACCUGUCUCAUGUCCUCCUUCACAUUCUCGACAUCUUCGAAGAACUUGUCAAGAUUAACAGUCUCCUUCCCGGCCUCCAUAUCGUCCAGGUAGGCCUGCUGUUUCAGGUCAGUGUAUUUCUUGAACGAGCUCGAAAAUAAGUCGUUCAUCUUGGCGUGAUGAUGAUAUUAUGUAUCACUCACUCUUGUUGAUCUUCUGCAAAAUGGGUUUUCCUUCCUUUUCUUUAUGUCUGUGAAAAAAUUGAGUGGACAACAAACAAAAAGUGCAUUAAAAACCAUGCAUAUAAUUAAGCUAAGCUAAUCAAAUCUCUCCUUCAUGUGUUCAAAGCGUCUGUGUUUUUGAUGGGGGUUUGGGGCUUCUGCAUCCUCCUCUGCAUCACAUUGAUGAGGAGGAAGACAAAGGAGGUGACAAAAGCAGAAGCUGUCCCCAAGAUAUGGACGAAAGUAGAAGUUUCCUUAUUUUCGGUGAGGGUGGAUGCAUUUGCGGCUUUGGAUUAAUUGCAUAUGAGGACCACCCAAAUUAAGUUAAUUAAACCUGUAAGGCCGUUUAAGGAUGGGUGUACAGUGGCUCAUGGGUUAGUUAACAGGUAGCUUCCUAUUUUUUUUCAUCUGUUAUAAAAAGGAUAUAUAGUUCGGUUGACUUGGUCGUACAUUUCUCUCCUCCCAAUCAUAAAAGAGACUGCUAGUCUGGUAAAGAUAUUUGUGGAUCAUAGUGUAACCCACUUUUCUGAACCUGCCCUAAUUAUAAAUGGAUAGCAACAAGUAGUUAUAAUGAACCAUUUUGUAUUUGCAAACUGAUGAUUAAUAGGCCCAUAAAGACAAAAACCCAAGGAUGGAAAUAAAAUCAGAUCCAAAAUAAGCCGAAGUUGCCCAUCUAGAUUUACGAGUAAUUUAUCACUCAUCAUAAAAAAUAAAAAAAAUAAAAAAAAAGACCUACGAGUAAUUAUAGUGUAGUACAGUAAUACAUAACAGAGAUAGAUUCACUACCAUGUAAUUUAUGAAGAAACCAAAAUAAAAUAAUUCAGCUUGGACCACUUCAAGGGAAGUUUGUUCAAAUAUAUAUAUACACAUAAAAAUAAACAAAACAAAAUGAGGUGAAUGCAAUUUCUAUUUUACUCGGCCGGAAAAGGAGAUAUUUAGUUACAUCCUCAAAGUCAUUGCAUCAAGGCAGCGAGGUGAGCUUCUAAAAUGAAACUAAAUAGCUUCAACCUGCCACCCACUUCAGUUGCAUUUAUCGUUUCCGUAUUAAAAAUAAUAAGGCUUUAAUGUCCGCUUAAUUUUACUUUAGAGACGACAACAUUUGCAGAAUCACAUUAUAGUUUCUCAAUCAAGUUGCCCUCUUCCCACCUCUCUUCUUUAUGUACAAACCUGAAGAUGCGAGAUCCCAUGUGGAUGAAUGUACAACAAAACUAUCUCCAGUUCGGAGCAACAGCCCCACGUUGCUGAUGACUGACAUAUCAUUGUACAGAACAAUGCACUAAUGUUAUCCCGUCGCAGUCAUGGAUGCUGAUGCCUUAAUGGAUAAAGUUGCAGGACAGUCGUUGCCACCAUCAUGAUUGCUACUUCCGAGGGUUACACCAUUGCUGAGGGGUUCCCCCCCUCCGGCUUCACCUCCAACUUGCUGUGACCGAUUGCCUGAUGAAUUUUCACUGCCACCAGAACUUGACAAUCUCUGUUGCUUGAGAUACCUUUCUGUGGCAUCUUGGAGCAACUUCAUCAUGCUGCCAGAAUCGGAGCCAGGUGACAGCUCUUCCUCCCGCUCUGGCUGGAUAUUCAGGUCAAUUUGGCCUUUAAAAGGUGGGGUUGAGGAUUUCGUCCUGUUAAGGUCAUCAUCAGAAAGUUCAAGGACCUCCUUUUUCUGGUUUGGACUACUGCUUCCUGCGUUACAACAUAUGGGGGUGUCGUCGUCUACUUUAUCAAUCACUACUAAUUGCUGCUGCUGCUGCUUUUUGCGUGUACUUUCCGCUUCUUUUUCUGAUUGCUUCUUCUCACGCCGCAUCAUUAAUGUACGGAAACGGCGCUUCACUGUUAAGCAUACAUUACAGGUGCAGGUUUGCUUGUGUUUUGGACCCUUCCCACUGGGGGGUUGGAUGCAGACAAUGCAUGAGCAUCCAGGUCUAUGUCGGGGAUGCUUUGUGGUGGCUUGGGCUGAUGCUGGGAGUGACUCACCCUCUCCCAAGAUAGCGAGGUUUGCAAGUGUGUCGAGCCCUUCCAGAGCUUCAAUGUUAUCUGGGUCCUGUUUAGCAGCCUUCAUUUUCUUGGAAGUAACUGCCCAAGCAGAAUAUAAAAAAACAAUUACAAAUUGAUAAUUUGGAAUGAUAAGCACGUGUAUAUGAUCUAAGAGAAAAAAAAAAUCAAGUAUGAAAGGAAAGAACCAUUUUAAACAUACGCAGGCAAACAUAAGAGAACGGGACCCAAAGCCAAGUUAUGACACAUUACUCAAUGAGCUCUGGAUUACAAUAAUUGUCUCAAGCAAUUCAUACCUGUACUAUGGGAAGGUAGAAGAUCUUCAAGCUGUUCUGUUGUCAAAUCUUGCGCUGCUGAACACGAAGAUCUGGUAGAUAAUUUUUAACACAUAAAAUGUAGUUUAUCCAUAUGUGCACGUCCUUGGAGUUCAUAUCAAUUUAAGGUGAACUUACAGAAAAUGUCCAUUUUACCUUUCAGGGUCCCAUGAAUUAUCAGAACAAGUCCAUUUUGAGGGUAGAAGUGCAUUCACAGGCAGUUUGCGCCAUUUGAAACAAUCUUCGCAUUGAGCCCAUUGAAUCUUCUCACUGAGAAGAACGGAAAAAAUCAUUAGAUAUGGAGAUUAACAGAUAGAAUUAUAAUAAAAUAAAAUAAAAAGCUUCAGGGUAAAGAAUACACAGGGAAAGUAACUCUUCCGAUUCAUUCUAGGCAUUAAAACAUGCUCCAUAUGUGAAGACCAAGACAAGGUCCAGAAAGGAGGAAACCCCAAAUACUGUCUUCCAUGCAUGGUACAAGUUGGAGACACCAUUUAACCAAGAUUUUUUUUUCUAAUUGAAAAAACAGCAUUUUCUUACCUUGAAGAGUACAAGGCAAAUCAGUGAAAACAAAAAGCAUACCAUGUAUAAUCUAACAAGAAGAAAAUAACCAGACAAACCUAAAAAAAUCCCCAUUAGGCUCUUCAAAAUAUUUCAGAAAUCUAAAAUAAUUAUAAAAAUUUCACCCAGCAGCAGCACCUAGGCACAAAAUUUUUUGAACCACUUAUCUGACCCACAAACUUAUCAAUAAAUUUUCUCGAUAAAUAUGCAAAAGUUAACUAAAGCAUUAAAAAGUAACACAGAAAACUAAUAUAGAAGUCUUCAGAAACAGAUCUUAGCACUAAAGAUGAUUUACCCUGCACUGCCCGUAGCAUAAAUUGUUGGCAUCCCAAGAAUUGGAGCAUCCUGUAAGAAAUAGCAGAUGUCAGAAUCCAUAAUGGAGGGAUCCCAACCCUAUAUUGAACAUGAUAACAUAGUUAGAAGACACAACACAUGAAAAACUACAAAGAUGCAAUGAAAGAUGUAACACUGCCAUAUGAGCACCAAGAGGUAUUUCCCGCUUUAUGAGAGGAAGCUUUGAUUCAACAUUUGACAUGCGGUUUUUGGGUCGGGACGGUUGGGAAAUGGGUGAGGGCAGCCCUCAUUAUAUAACCCGCUCAAGUCAUUCAGCCAAAAAAUGAAUAGAGGUAUUCACAACUUGUAACAAGUUUGGUAAAGACCCAAACCAAGAGAAGGAUUCUUGCAUCCAGAAAAGAAGAGAGGGGAAUCACUAGCAGACCAGAAAACUCUACAAGUAUAAGAUCACAAGCUUUUAUAAAGUAAUAUUUUCAAAAGCCACUUUGGAAUUAUUCAAGUAAAAGCUGUCUGAAAUAAUUAAUUAAUUAUUUAGUUUUGGAAGUCAGUAUCGAAAUGGCAUACAAAUAAAGUGUAUCAAUGUAGUUCCAUCAUAACAAGAUACGAUACUAAGAAUUCUUCACGGUUCUCAUCACAAGAUACAAAAGUUAUUGUACCUCUCGUUAUUUUCUGGGGGCACUUAGCAAUUGUGAUCUAUUAGAAAACAAAUCCAUGUAACAGUUGUGGUCAAAGGGAAAGAACACAGACGUCAUAGUGAAUUGGAUUGCACACACACAUCAGAGUGAUAGAACAAGAAAAAUUAUGAGCAACAUUUGGCAAUGUGAAUCCUAUCAAAAAAGGAAUCAUAAUUAACUAUGUACCUCAUAUUCCUCAAACUCAAAGCCUUCAAUCACCACAACAGUAGGUAUAUGGUUAGCAGGAGCGCGAAGCAGGCCUUGAGCUUCUUCCCAUGUUAACUUCAGUUCUAUCAGGUCUUCAUUUUCAAUUCUCAGGCGCUUACUCUUAGAACCCAAGGUACUGUUCUUCCUUUUUCUAGAGAUCAAAGACUUAGAUCCCAGUGCUUCUUUUGCUAUGUAACCAGACUUAUCAACUUUAGACCAUGAGCUAGGAUCUGCCAAUUCAGCCUGGUUCAUUGAUGAAAAUCUAGGUGAUUCUGUACCAUUUUUAAUACGACAUCUGAACCAUUUUUUAUAUGACAAAUAUUGAAAAGACUUAACCAGAAUUAGUUUCUGUUAUACUAACAUCUGCAAGGGCUGAAACUCCAUUGCUUGCCUUGUUUGUCUCGUUUUCCUAACAAGCAAACAUAAAGUAAAAGAAAACGAAGCCUUAGUAGUAGACCUUACAGAAAACCAAAUGCAAAGAUCCAUAUAAAGGAACAAAAAUGCAUGCAACUAAAAUUAUCAAGUAAUUCAAAGCAGACUCAGAAACAAAACACCAUGGUCAUCCAACUUAACUGAAGUGCAUACUGGAAAUAUAAAAUACUGCCUUUUAAUAUGGUUACCAGUUGCCAUUUAUCCACUUAAAUCAAGCAUAUAUUGCCAAUCACAACUAAAAAAAUAGUCACAAGGAAAUAGGUGUUGAGAAGCAAAAAACCUGAUCAGAUGGUGGGGCAGUUGAAGCCUUUCUGAACCCCAUAACCAAUUUCCCUUCUGGCUCCAAUCGACUAAAGGUUACUGAUAAAACAGAAUAACUCUUCAGUGCCAAAGUGAGGGAACAAAGUAACAAGAUGGAUUAAAUCAUAGUAAGCUGACAACACACACAGUAGGGAAAUUACUAAUACACACACAGAUAUAUAUAUAUAUAUAUAGGGGCAUGAAAACAAGAAAUUACAUAAGGAAACAUGGAAGACACUCUUCGAGAGCAUAAUAAGCCAAAUAAAUGGAUAAUGCAAGAAUCCAGAAAACUAAUAAGAUUGAACUAAAUCCAAAAGAACUCCAUAAAUAAUUGAUGUCAGAGUCCUCGCCAAGUUUAAGCAUGAACAAGGUACCAUUCAAUAGAAAUUUCUCCAGUGAUAUAAGAUCAUUACCUAUGUCGCCUGCCUGCAAUUGCAUGGACUGUAUGCACGGAGUAACCCCCUCCAGAACAUACAUUCUGCUAUUAUUGUUGGGCCAGAAACGAAACUGAAAUACCCAUUCCUUGCCUUUUGAAUCCUGAACUUUAAGAGGUAACCCUUCAGGCUGAGAAAUUGGAGGAAAGUAGGCCUGUCUCGUAGGGAAAUAAUGUUAAUUUAUUAUGAAAUAAUAAACUGUGUCAAGCUAAAACUUAUAAGACAGAUUCAGAAAAUAAUCAAAUAUAUAAUAUAGCUCAUGCUAAUUCUUUCCAUUAUGCCUCAAGAAGCCAAGUGCCAGGUCCAACUGAGAAAACAUGAAGACACACCUCUGCACAUUUUUUUGGCAACACCAGACGUCCAAUCCGCCCAGCAUCACUCGCACUUAACAUUUUCUCGAAUAAUGGAGUUAUUACAGAAUUUUUACUUAAACAUGGUUAAGGUUUACAGUAUGUAAGAUUCAAGGCACAACAAAGUUUAAGAAGAGCCAUGACCACUAUACAAACAGCCUUAACAUUUAUAAUAUUAAAACAUAUACAACAUUGUCUUUUUAGAGAAAGGAAAUAAAAAGAUAUUGAAUCAAAGGAUACUCUCCAGAUAUUUGCUGUAGCUCUUGAUCAGUAAAUCUAGGCCAGUACCGUGGAAGUAACUGAUUUCUUCCCCGGGCAUCCGCUCGAGGCCUUGCAUUGCGGAUCUGAGUAUCAGCAGAUGAUUCAACUCCAUUCUGUAAAUUACCAUUAAACUGCUUUGCCAAAGGAAGGGUUGGCCGCAAAUUAGUUCCAGUAACCCCCACUUGAGCAUUUGUUUCACUCACAGAUCCAUAUGGACCAAAUUGUGGAGUAGAAGGGUCCUCCUUCAAAGAGGCAGACUGCUGAGAUAUAUUUAAACAUGAACUACUUUGCUCCUCGCGGUUAUUUCCUACAACAAAAUGUUGACAACACUUUAACAGCCAUCUACCUACAGCUUGGAAACAGAAAUGUGGCAAGUUGGCAUAAUAUUUCACACUAGCUUAUGUGCCAUGAAAGAGUCCAUACCUGGCUUCCCGUUUUCAAGACUUUCUUGUGUGCCCAUAGUGAGGUUAACUUUCAUUAGUCUUUCAGAAAAAUCCUCUACUUUCUUCUUUUCCAUGGAGGAUACAAAUAUUCUUUCACUGGCAUUAAGUUUGUUAAUCCCAGUUGAAACAUCAACUUCAUAUGGCACCCUCGUAUGCAACUCAGAUGAAGGAAUUGAAGAAUUGAAUAAACUGGGUGCUUGCCUCCAUGGUACAGGACCAGAUCCAGCCAAAUGAGUCCAAUUUUUGACAGACAGGUCCUUAAGUCUCUCAGAUAAAGGUGAAUGGAAGAACAUAGAUGUUGGCCAUGCUGGAUUUGGUGUCUGUUCAACAACAGAAAAUAACACGGUUGUGGUACGUUCAAGGAACAUAACAUAACUAAGAUAAACAAAGGUUGAUAUGGCAGAAUACUGACAAUUGAAACAUACAAUAUUGAAGUUUUGUUAUUUAAAAUUUUAAACAAUCCCUACCAAAACAAAAUUUUUCCUUGCACAUGUCAUGCACUCAACUCCUCCAGGAUCCAACAAUGUAAAUGCAUGACUUGAAACAAUGCAUCCACAAUGAACCCGCUGCAAAAGAAGACUAACCAAAUUAACAUUCAUACUAGAAAUCCAAAACUAAAGUCAGUUAAUCUAAUACAACAUUAAUUAUAACACUAAACGUUUAUGCUAUAAAGGAUACAAAUUAGACAGCAUAAACUAUCUACUGACCUUCCCACAAGACUCGCAGCAUCUCCAACCAGCGGCAUUCAUAUGGAAAGUCUCACAGAAUCUUCCUUCCUCAUAAGCAAGACUUAGAUCACACAAAAAAGGGAAAAGCUAUCUGUCAGUGUAAUCUACAAAGCGUACAAUAUUCUAGCUUAGAACUUGAAAGAUGAAUGAAGAUUAAGGUAGAUGAAUCACCGGAUACAGUCAAGUUGUGAUCUAUAUAGCCAGUUGAAAUUCUAACGUGUUUUAAAAUGAAUUCAACAGGCAAUAGCAUUUCCUUGCCAUCCUUACUUCCUUAAUUAACAAUAAGUAUCCGAACUGACUCAAUAACUGGUAAUUAAGCUUGAAAAGUUGGGAAACCUAACAAAAUAAAUUCGUUCUCCCAAGUAAUUCUGCACCUUGACACCAUAGGCAGACCUUCCAUAUGCCUAGUGGGGGCAACGGCUCCCAUGGAACAAAUAUUUAAUUUUACUUUUUUGUCAUAAUUUUUCUGACAUAUAUACAUCUUUUCUGAUUGCGAACACAAACUUCCAUUACCAUUAGAUGCCGUGGAUAUUUGAUUAAUUUGAUUGAUUCAAAUGGUCAAACUCUCACAUGAACCUACCAUAUUUUGUCAAUUAACCCAAAAAAAGAAGAAAAAUAAUCAUUUUGCAGUUUCAUUCUUUCUUUUUAUGGAUUUCAUUGCAUCUCUCUAAGUUUUUUUAGCCUACAAAGCUCUCAACAAGAGCUCCAACUACCUUAAGCUACUCUACAUUUUCACCUUCAUGUCCUACGAUAUCCCAAGAAAUACAGACAAACAAAACAGAAAGGAUUGUAAUAUUGCAUGUUCAAGAGAACUACUUAUAUUAAGGCAAGCAUAGGCAUUGCAGGUUGCAUUCACAAAAAAUAAGUACCAGCAGGUUAGGCUUAAUUAAAAAGAAUUUCAUGAGCAAAACUGUAUAUGAACAUUUAACCAAAGGGAAAAAAAUAUUCCCAAAACCAAGUGAAGCAACAAAAUUGUUUCAUAAACAUCACACUAAAGCAUCCGUUGAAUUCAAUGGAGCAGUUAAAACAAAGAAUCUUUUAAUCUUUCCCCUAAAUUAAAUUAUAGUUUCUCUCCAAACUCCUACUUCACCAAGCAGUUCAGCUCAGCACUAAUCGAAAUGACAGCUCCCGCGCAUUUACCUAAAGGAGCCAACCUAUUCAGCGCCCUCAAUCAAAUUUGAAAGAAUAAGAAGAAAACGGAGGUAAAGCCAGUGUUCCCAAACUACCCUUUUUUCAAAAGCCCAAUCUCGUUCUCGAAACUAGAGCAUAACGCCACGACUUCCUCCAAAUUUAGUAAAUUCCCCCCCAAAAACCCACUACUAAAACCCUAAACUCGAUCUCAAAUCGAUCAAUCCAACUCGAAACGACGCAAAUGAAGCCGUGACUUGAAACCAAAAAAAAACACUGAACCAGUUCAAAUUAACAGAUUUUGGAAAAAACUAAAAAAACAAAACAAAAUGCUUGGCUUACUAGCAUCGAUCGCAUAGCUCAGCAUACUCUCCCGUACGUAGCCGCCAGCCCUUUCUCGGAUGCUCCGAUUUCAAUUCCUUGCACUCGGAAUUGUAGCAGACCUUGGAAGACGACGACGACAUCGAAGAAGCUCCACAUACAAGAAACUAAAACCCUAGAAAUUAAGCAGCGGAUGAGUUAUAGAGAGAGAAAAUAGAGCGAGAGAGAGAGAGCAGUAUAGAUAUCGAAAUACAGUGGUUUGUUUCGGCCUGAUCUGUACGUAAUCAUAUAGAGCGAGAGAGAGAGACAGAGACAGAGGAGUUGGAGAGGGUUUUAGAGAGAGAUAGAAAGAAAGAAAGAAAAUGUAUUUAUUUCUGGAAGUGAGAGAAAAUAAUUAAAUAAAUAAAUGCGUGAAAAUUAUAUUUAAGACUUUUCCUUUUUUUGUUGAAAAAUAUUUAACACUUAAAAAGAAGCUUUAAAAACACGUCCAGUCGUUUUGACCCCCAAAAAAAAAAAACACGUCCAGUCGUGGCCUUAUGUUCGGCGUCGUCGUUUCUCUCUCAAACCUUUUUUUUUUUUUUUUUGGUUUUAAUUUUUUUAAGUUUCUAAUAAUAUCUAAUGUCGUUGUCGUCGCGGCUUUGAAUAAAAAAUUCCCAUUUUAUCUGCAAAAGCUACUGACCUGUAUGCCCACCUGAGCUAACGAGACAGGGGCGUUUUAGUAAUUUGGAGCUAAGUUGGAUAGAGAGAGCGAGUUUAGAAAUUUGUUUACUCACGAGAGUAGGGAGUUUUAGUCGCUUACAAGGUGUGGGUGAUGUGGGGUAUAAUCUGAUGCAUGGCCCGCUAAAGGUCAUGCAAUCACGUAACGCCUACUUCUCUUGCCUUGUUGUUGGUUUGACAUGUCUUCCAUUCGUUAAUGUUUUUACUAUUUAUGGUACUGUUCGGUUUAUGUUGGUUGUUUGUUAUAAAUGAAAAUAUAAUUUUUUUAAAAUAACGUUUACACAGUGUAUUUACACAUAACGGGAGAAGUCAUGAAUCAUAAAAAAGUUAUGAAUAUGGUAGAAAAUAAAUGAGUGAGAUUUUUUAAGUAUUAGAUAUUAUGAAUUUUAAUGUGAAAUUCACAUUCAGCGCAUAAUAGGUAAUUUGCGAUACAAUUUUACAUAUCGAGAGUAUGAUAAAAUAUUAAAUGCUAAAACUUACUUGAUACGAGUGAUGAAUAAUGAUGAAGCUUAGCAAAAAUAUAGUCUGUCUCGGCCACAUCCAUCUAAGCCUAACAAUGUUGUGUUGUUUUCCUUCUUGGUUACUUCUUAUUUCUUCCUAGGAGGAAGCUAACAAGUUUUGCAAUUUAGUGAUCAGACGCCGACGGACAGCCAGCCACAUACACGUCUCCAUAUCCAAUAACAUUUUUGGACACUUAUGUGAAAGAGAUAAGAGGGAUUUUAUUUUUGGACUUUUCACAUGUAAAUCCAUAAAUAAAGACCAAAAUAUAAAUUUAUCUUCUUCUUUUUUUUCCCUUUUGGUUAUAGAUUAAUAUAUAUGCAUGUGAAAAUGAACACAUAUAUAUAUAUAUAGAUAAUACCAAAUAAAUUUUGUACUAGUUUGCCUUAGCUGCCAUCGAUACGAUGCCUUAAUUAGCUUGUUUUCACUAAGCUGUACCGUUACGUACUUAAGAAACAAAAUUAAUAAUAAUAAUAUAUAGGUGAUUGAUAAUUAUGAUUAAGAUAUAGGCUGAAUAAAAGAGGCCAAUUGCUUGGUGGUGGCGUCUCAAGCUAAGCUAGAGUGGCAAUGUAGGUCUAGGAUUCAUCAUACGUGAUUUGUAACAAAACUACAAAAGGGGAAAACCCACUAAGCAAUAAUGUCCACAUAUGCAUGUAUACCACGUAAGCAAGGUAGAUAUAUAUCACAAUUUACAUGCCAAAAACUAGUGUUUGGUUUUCUUGGUUGAUUUUUGACUUUUGAAAUUGAGAUGAAGUGUGAAUGGAAUUUCCAAUGUAAAAAUGUGGGGAGUAUAAAGAGUUUCACAUGUAUUAAGUUAGUUGAUCAACAAUAAUAUGCUCGCUUCCUUGAAUACGAGUUCGAUACAUUUCUUAAAUUAUAACUUUGUCAAGAAAGAAAAUUUCUCCUAACUUAACGAGAGUUGUUAAAACUUUUUUACUUUUUUUCCCUUUUUGUGAAUAAGAGACCUAAGCUGAUUGACAUAUGUAUGCACUGCUCGUCAAUCCCCACUUAUCAUUGACCACAAUUAAUUUUGGAGUUGAAAUGAUUUGGACCACGUUGUAUAUUUGAAUUUGAGUGAACCCUGUAGCAGGCGUGUUGACGCUGCCAUGAUGAACCCCGACGUCAUAUCUAACUUUUAUAUGCAUAUAUAAAUCAUACAUAAAAACCUAUGACUGGUAUUAUUAUGAUAACGUGCCCAUCAUUGUCACAUCUUGCAUCAUAAUGAAUUAUAUUCUAUAAUUGUUAUUAUUAACUUUUCAUCACAUAAUUGUUAUUUUUUUAAUAUUUUGUUUAUGGAGUGAAUGAGUUCUUGUUGUGCACUAGAAUGCUAAUUAUUUAUGUCACAGCCAGAUUUCUCAAUUACCAAAACACAUGGACGACUUUUAUUACAAAGGUCAAUGAUUUAAGCUGUCGAAAACAAUUAUAUGUAAUUAAUUUAAUUACUAGAAUGUCGGCAGGCAUGUUCAACAUGCCUUCUAUAAUUCGUUUCCAGCAUAUUAACAUUAUGAAUUAAUUAGCACUAUGCAAAUACAUUUCGUAUUGGUCAUCUAUAUAUAUUGGAUGCAUUAGGGAACUUGUUUUAUUUCAUGGCUUCGUGCAACCUGCAGUCUCCGUUGAUGGGCUAAAUUUGCAUCUUUCCGUAUUGCCGGCUAGGAAUAUGUGCCAUGUAACAGUGAGGAGGCAUUGCAGAAGGCUGUUUCGAUGCAACCGGUCACAGCUGUGGUUGAAGGCGAGGAAUGACAUUCCGACAUUACUCCAGUGGGGUCUUUUCUGGAGGUUGUGGGAUGUCACUUGACCAAGGUGUUACAGUCGUUGGCUAUGGCAAAAUGAAGACGGCAUUAUUGGUGGGGUGUGCGUGGCCGAGAAUUCCCAAAGAUGUUGAUUUUCCAGAAGGUCUUUGUGGCAUUGCCAUGUAUCAUGCUUGCUAUCCAGUUGUAUUAUAUGCACAUGACUACAUUUUUUUCAAUUGGAUUACUUUUCACAGAGAAUAUGCAUGGCCGAAAAAGAGACAAUUGGCUUUAUGAUCGAGAGCUGAAAUUAAAGAGAUUUGUCACAUGAUAUUUGGGCGGGCAAAAGUGACAUGAGCUUGUUGGCCCUCGUCUCUACAAUGACAGGCUUCCACAAAAAAAAAAAAAAAAAAAAAAAAAAGGUGCGGUUCUUUUCUUGUUGAUGGAAAAAUUACCUGUCUUAGAAAGCAAGUCAGCAAUCUGCAUUCACAUUUGGCCUUAAGGUUUCUAUCAUUGAAAUGCUCAUGUAUAUAUGUAUUUCAGAAGGUGGAAUGAAAUAUGGUCUCUGGAUUUACCAGAGUCGUAUGCAUUUCUGUACUACAAAUGUGUUUCAGAACAAAAGAAAAUUGUAAAAUCAAAGCAAAAGAGUGAAAGACAAACUGCACAUUACUUCGACAGUAAUCUUGGUAGCUGUUACAAAAUCACUUUUCAGCAAGCAACUUGCCGACAAACGAAUCGCUUGUACUCCUUGCAGCUUUGUACGGGUUGGAUUCUGCUUGGUAUCUCGAUGUGUAACCAAAAUCAAAUACUUGAUAAGAAGUAUACUUUAUACCGGGGAAAACAGAGUAGCUAAACCUUGAUCCACAGUUAUUUGGAGUUUAUCAUAGGCCAUCAGCGUCUUUUGGUCACAUUUGUAUGCUCCUUUGCCCCUAGCCAGGACCUCACCAUCUGAGUCUAUAAUCCCUCCCUUUGUGGGGUCCUCAGUGAGAGGACCUGGUUCCAAAAUUAAUGCUUUCACCUGCAGUAUGUCGCGAGAUAAAAGAGAAUGUAAACAGAAGUGGAACGUUAGUAAAGCUUCUUGUAUAUACCAAAAGGCAGACACGGAAUAUUAAAGCUAAACUAAAUGCUUGAUAAUUUGGUUUUUCUGACCUUGAAGUACAUGACAUAUGGUGAAUUGACAUGACUUCCUGUGCUCAACCCUGACAUCAACGAGAGCAAGGAUAGUUUUGGGCAAGCUCUCAUAAUUAUCACAUCUAGGUAACCAUCUGAGAACUGCACACCAACAGGCAAAAAUAGCACAAAUACAUUUAUUCGAGUUUUGAAAAAAUAUCCCUUGACAGUAGUAGCGGAGAAGUAUCUGAAGCAGACGCUAAUCAAUUUUACAGUCCAACCUUGGCAUCAGGCGCUGCCUUUGUGUCUUCACUUCCCCAAGGGACAUUGUGAAGCCAGACUGAAACGAAUGGUCCAUUAAUAGUUCUCCAGUCCAUGUUCUCCAAGUUAAUAUCAGGUCCCUCAUAGCCAUGCUGUCGAAUGUUAACAGGCUCCUCUUGACUUGGACCACAUUUAUUGUGAUGGUUAGUAGGUUCACUAAUGUUGUUGUAACUAGUAGGCUCCCCAUAAAUUUCAAAGCCAGGUGCAGGCACAAAGGAAAUAGAUCCAUUAUAUUGCCUCAAAUGCACAAUUCGUUGAACAGCCUAAAAUAUAGAAACAAUUAGCAUACAAGUGAGCCCGUGCAAAAGGUUUAACAUAUGCCAUAUUCCACCAAGUGUACAAAUGGGACUGUCAAUUGCAUGCAUUUUCCACCAAGAAAUGCUACAAAGAAGAACCCUAUUUAAUUUUGACAUUUUAAGUUUAAAAUCCUUUCGAAAGAAUCGGAUACUACUAGUUUUCAUUAUUUUACAACUGUUGGAGACCUAAUUGUAAUAUAAAUUUGAUUUACCAUAAGGAAUGAUUAAAUUUGAACUCACCUGUUGAAGCAUUCUAUAAUAAUUCCUAUUUGAAGACACUAUUAGGUCCUCAAAAUUUGUACAGCAACUAAUUUAACAAAACAAAUAGUGUUAUACUUGGAAGUUUUGAUUCUAGACUUAAAUUCAAUGCAGUAGUUAAUAAUAAUACCAGGGCAACAAAUCACGUAAAAGGAUACACAAGCACACAAAUAUCUAAACGAGCAAUGGCAUAAACUAGUAAAGAAGAACACAAUAAAUGAGAGGUAAACUUACAUAGAAAUCUAGACGAGCACUUCCCAUCCACCUAUACUUCUCAGACUCAAUGUCAACAUCUGCCACUAAACCUGAAAGCAUAUGAAAAAUCAUAUUACAUUUUUUAAUUGCUAUGAGAAUCAGAUAUUCUAGUAGGAAUUAUUCCAGUACAACUAGAAACUUAUAGAAAUAGCAUAGUAUAUUCCACUAUCUAGUGGUGAUAGUUUUGACUCACCCCAUGCAAGCAUCAAUACACUGAAGAAUUUGGUCUUCCCCUGCCAUAUGGUAGCUACAUCCAGUGAACGCUUAUUCCCUGGCCAUAAAUAAACCACAAAGAAGAAAAUAUCAUUAAUCAAAAGAACUAAGUACUAACAGAUUAGAGGGAGAGAAAGGGAGCAAUGCUAUUAUUUUGAACACAAUAUAAUGAUGCACAGACAGCAUAUGUAACCUCGAAUAAUGGCAAGAAUAGCAUUAGAUGCUGUACAAGGUUCACCAACAGAAUCCAAAAGAGAUUUUGCCAUUCCAUUUCCUGUACCUAAAUGAAGAAACAUCUCUUGUCAGAAAUUAAUCUUGAAAACAACCGACUAAUAACUCUGUUUGUUUUGAUGCACAAAUUAUUACAAUUCACUGCAGUGGCCUCACCUUCCAUAACAUGAAUGAUCUAGAAAUUUUCAGAGAUUUUUAUUUUCUUUCUAAAUAUAAAGAAAAUUGAGAGAGAAAGAGGAUUGAACCUGCAGGAACUACUCCAAGAGGCAUCUUUAUUGCAGCUUCCCAAUCCUCUCUCUCAAGGAGUCCAUUUACUACCUACUAAAAAGUGCAAUGCUUAUAAGAAGAAAAUGGUAAGCUUAAUCUAUGCAUAUGAUCCUGUAGAGAAAUGUACCGGAUUAGCAUGAUAUAAACAUAAAACAAAACCAAAAAUAGAUUCUUUGUUGUGUUUCAGACUAAUAACAUUGCCAGUCAGUUGAUUUGCCACUUUCAGUUAGAGACCGUCGCAGCUUUAAAAACUUGUUAGAACAAAUUACCACUAUAUGUUUACCAAAUUACCAGCAGCUCUGCCCGAAACAAAAAAACAAAAAAAAAUCUAACUCAUUGGAGGAAAACAAAAGGGGUGGUCAUUAUAUAUAAGUAAUUUGAAAUUCCUCGAGGAAGUUGUUUGCACAAUCACAAGAUGUGUGUUUAAUAACUCUGCAACAAAAUCAUAUUCACAUAGCUAGUGAUCAUUCGCAACCAACCUCAACCAAGAUUCCAUCCCCACUAACACAAACAAUGCCAUCAUACUUUGAAAGAUCUAGUGUUUUAGCAACUUCCUUCGCAUGUAGUUGAUAUUGAGUUUCUGAAACAUUGAUUGAAAAAAUAAUUACAAAGGGGAUACAUUAACUUGACCUACAAUCCACAAAUCCAAAACUUGGCACAUCAACUAUUAAGCAAGAUUUUAAAGAAGAUUCCGAACCUUGUAGUGUAAAUUGGAUAUUAGCAUCCUGGAAAAGAGGUUUUACGUGUUCAGCAUAUAUUUUUGAAGCGGAUUUGCUCCCACCAAAUGGAUUCACAAAAACGAAGAGCCUCUUUGGCCGCCCUGUUACAAAGAGAAUAAGUUACCAUCUAUGUUAUCACAAUAAAUGCGAGAAGUAAUAUAAAAAACCAAAAACUGAAUUUCUUUUCAAUAAUUAGGCUUUAAAAAAAAAAAAAAACUUAAGUGGAAUUUAGACUAAAAAGAGCUUCAGUAGCUUAAGUGAACAAAAUUGAAACAAAAACAACGGAAAUUCAAAAUCGCGCAACGGUCAAACAACCCAAAGUCAAAAGUCAAAAGUCAAAACUUCCCAAGCAUUCAUUUCCGUUCCUGCAUUUUCCUAUCAACCAAACAGGACAGAAGCCAAAUAGAGCAUAUGAUGAUUACCCAGAGAAUCAAUGUGUUCGCGGAGCUUCUGGCACCAGAGCCUAUGCGAGUCCUCAGAGAGAGGCUUGAAGACGAAUUCUUUCCUCACCACAGCUCCUCUGCUCGCGACGCAGCAGAUUCCAUCUCCGUCUUCCACUAAGGCUCUGAUCCUAAUCUUCGGACCUUCCGCUGCGAACCCGAGGACCUCCUUCUCCACGAUCAAGCUUCGUUGACCUCUCUCCGACCACCGGAGAACUCCAUCGGCGAAUAGAGUCACCGGAGUGACGGUGCCGUUUAUGAGGACCCGGUCGGAGAGUAUGGGUUGAGCGGACUCGGGUCGGUCCAUGUUGGAUUGUGUUUCAAGUCUUCAAAGAGUCGUUGAGGCUCUUCUUUGGAGUCUGAAGUCUGAUGUAGAAAUUUAUGCGCUCGUUGGCGCAGACGCCGGUUCACUUUGGUUGAGGUUGAAUGAAGCGAACCGGAUGUGAACGAUGCCAACGGAAAUUGGUUUCAUUUACCUAAAAACCUUAAAAAACCGAAAUUAGUUGUUGGGUUGAUUGUAAUUUGCAUCGUUCGGUUUAUUCUAUGAUGCCCACAAAAGAUAAAGAAAUGUAGCGUUGGGGCCAAAGCUGCUUCGACAUCCAUCGAAAAGGAAAGGGAAAAGUAUGUAUAUGCGAUAAAUAAAAUUGUGACUUGUCUCUGCCAACAUAUUUGGUGACAAUGAAAAUGUUUGGAUUAUUAGAAUUAAAGUUAUACACUACUUGCAAAGGAUUCAUUUUUAAGUUCGAGUCUCAGUAUUCAUAUUAUAUGUGUGAAUUUAAUAUAUUAUUACUUUUUUAAUAUAAAAAAUUCUUUAAAAAAAAGGUUAUACACUACUAUUUGAAACAUAUAUAUCACUAGACUAAGAUGUAAUUGGUAAUAGUCCGAUCUUACAUUAUACCAAGUUCAAUUCAAAUCCCGUUUAGUUUUAAAAUAGCAAAUCAAUGUUUCAACGUUGUUAAUGUUACAUCAAUUAGCUCUUAUUUUGGUAGUAAUUCUUUCUUUCCAAUAUUAGAAGAAGUCCAUAAUUUGAAAGAGAUUUUUUAUUUAAACUCCACACUUCUCUUAGUUCAUCUUAUGUUCUAAGUUUAUCCCAACUUUUAAUUUAAAUUUUCACAAUUUCUAAAAAAAUCUCACUAUCUUCCCCACCCUUAAAUACACCCCAGCUGAAAAAAAAAAAAAAAAAAAAAGAAGAAAUUUUCUAUUUAAACCCCACAAGCUACCCUUAGAGGAUGAAGUACGUUCUUAUUUGACAGACACUUGAUUUGUUGACAAUGUUAAUUUAUAGAUUGGUAAAUUUUUGUGUGCAUAAUAUGUGAUUCUUAUUUGAUUUCUACCUCCGAAUGCCAUCCAGAAUUUUUAAACAUUGAAACACUAUGUACUGAAACUUUAGGCACUUACUUUGAGAUGAGAUAAAAACUGGUACUUGAGGUUGCUACACUUUGCUAUAGGAGUAGGCCAUUUGAUCGGCCAUCAAUGGAGAAUACAUUGAAGCUUUUAUCAGACUGGAAAAGCAACAAGAAAAAUAACCCAACUAUUGAAGCAGCAGUAGCAGGAUUAUGAUUUUAGAUGCAUACUGGAAUUCCAGAAGUGACAAUAAUAUUAUUGUUCCCAGCAAAAAAAAAACACAAACAAAUAGAACCCCAAAUCCAAAAUUUAAUACUUUCUAGAGAAAGAGAACAGUUUUACCAAAACAUUAGGUAAAAAAAAAAAAAAAAGCAAUCAACAAAGGGAAGAAAAUAAGAUCAUUACAACCAAGCAAUCAACAAGUAUUACAGCCAAACAAUCAACAAGUCUUUUCAUUAGCUCCCACUCAUAUUUUUAAGAGGCAUGCUCGUCAAUGUUCUACAUAUCUGACAAUACGAUGUAGAGGAGUUUGUAUUUUUCUAAAACUUAGGGGGGUGUAUCCAAUUCAUACUUAUAAAGACUUUUUUUAAGUGAGUAACUUUCAUAGAGAUGACAAAUUCUUAAAUACUUUCAUAGAGUUGAUAAAAGUCACUAGUAAAUUGGCAAGACUUUUGCUCUUAACAAUUAGUCUUAAAAGUAUAGAAAAGUCAUUCAUUUAAUAAGCUUUUUAAAAGUCAUUAACUUUUUGGAUACCACCAAACUUUUAAAUACUUUUUAAAAGUCAUAACUGAAUACCACCAAACUUUUAAAUACUUUUUAAAAGUCACAAUUGAAUACCACUAGACUUUUAUAUACUCUUUAAAAGUUUAAAUUGAAUACCUUUAGACUUUUAAACUCUAUAAAAGUCAUUAAAAGUUUGAAUUGAAUACACCCUCCUUAAUAUGAAGAGUGGUGGGGUGUGUGGGGUGUGUGUAUAGAUGUAUUAGAGUAUUAAAUUGGAUAACUUUUUUUAUCUUUUUACAUAAUAAUAAAACUUACAGCUUAAUGAUUUAAGUAUUAGAAUGAACUAAGAGAAGUGUGAGGUUUAAAUAGAAAAUCUCAUUUGAAAUCCCACUGAUUGAUUAGAAUUUAGAAAAGCCUUUGUUUUAAUGCUGGAUUUUACGUCAUGCCCGAAAAAGGGUCGUGUAAUGGCUUUGGGCAUCAAUCUGACCUAGGUCCAUUCUGGCUGGAUAUCCAAAUCCCAAAUUAUACGUUCUGGGCCGAGUUGAAUGUACUCAAACUAUUUGGGCCAAGUCAAAUCUGCUCAAACCACUUUCAUAUACUGAAGAAAAACACUUGUGAACCGGCCUCUUAACCACAAGCGCACCAACUCGGAGCAGUGAAGCUGCAAUGGUAGGCAAGGUCGAAGUGGAAGCGAUUCCGGCGCCAAAUCCCCGAGGCCGUCACAUAAAGAAGAGGGCUCUUAAAAACAAGGCUCUCGCCGUCACGUUCAACGAGAAAGAUCUCAGGUAGUACACCGCCAUCAUGAGCUUCAUCAGUAACGAAAACUAAGCCCUGAAUUUUGUUCUUUUCGUAUUUUGUGAAUUGGGUCUUUUUCAUAUUUGGGGUUUAAUGUUUACUUCUUUUGGGUGUUUAACUUGGGGGGGGGCUUUGGUUUGUGAAGCGAUUUUGUGUCUGGGUUUCACAAGAGGAAGAAGAAAAGGAGAAAGGAAGCCGAGAAGAAGCAAGAGGAGGCGCUACGGCGUAAGCGUCUUGAGCUGCGCAAAAAGGUUAGAAUUUAUGGUCAAUUUUUGACCCUUGGAUGGCCUCUUUUUUAUGGUAUUUUUUCGUGCAAUGAUGUAGCUGUAUUUUAUUGAUCUUUGGAUAAUAGUCUAUUGAUGUAAUCUCAUUGUUGCCAAGUUGCUGUUUUUGUUUGCGGAUGACUGAAAAAGCUAAAAUAUAUGUAAUGUUUAUUUAUUGACCGCACUUUCUUGGAACAUAAGAACUAUUAGGAUGUGGAUCAGGAAUAGCACUUCCCAUUGACCACUAAGUCUCUGUUUUGUUGGUCUGAUUAUCUGAUACGAGCCAUGAAUCCUGAAAAUAUGAAUAGAAUUAUCAAGCUGUCUACAAUAAUGCAAUUAUAUUGUCAAGUUUUGGUUAGUUGUGCUUUCAUAUUAUUAAUUUCUAAAGAAAAGUUGAUUAUUGAUUGUUGUAUGUCUGCAAAUAAACUUUGUUUCUCUUUUUCCCUAUGAUGAUUUUCACGUGCGUAACAUAAAAAAUUAUUAUAGUACAGAAGAUUCAACUUCUGGUAGGAUGGUAGUUACUGUGGAGGGAUACUUCUGCUAGGGAUAUUACCUGAGCCUUUUUGUUGGAAAAAGCCAGUAGCACCAUUUUUCUAUGCCAAAAACUGAAAAUUUUGAAAAUUUUGGUAACCAAUGUCAACAAACUUAGUCUUGUUCCGCAAACAUUUUCCACCAUAGAAAUCAGAAGAGAAUGCCAUAUUGCACAUGCAUGAUAGGGGGUUAUUGCUUCUGAGCAUGUCCUCUCAGGCAGUCAAAGCCAUAUUGCAACUGUUCACCUUAUGCAAGGGAUUUGACCUCAGGUAAACUUUGGCUCCUUAAACCAUUUUAACCCAGUAAUUCUUGAAUUUUGAGGCACAAAGUUUUUAUUUUUCUGCUGUGGGGUGGGGGUCAGGAAGAGGGAGAAAAGGUGCCAUCGUUGUUCAUACAUUUUUCAUUCUUUAUGAGAUUCUUCUUUUGAUUUUGUUUUGUUUUGUUUUUUUUUACAAGGGCACUGAUAAAUAUAUGUUAACGUUCUUGAAAAACAACCCAAGUUUUCACUGUCUUACCUUCCUUUGGUAACGUUUGUUGCAGAGGAGACUAGAAAAGGAACUGGCUCUUAAUGAUGACGCUCCCCCAGCCACUGACACAGCAGCUGAUGAGAGUGAUGAGCAUGACGAGGAUGAUGAAAGUAGUGAGCCAGCUCUACCAGUUUCAGGUAUUUUCCAAAACUUUGUUUCACAAUGGAUAUAAACAUGUAUUUAAGCUACUUUUAUGUGUCAGUACCUACUAAGAACUCAUGGGUUAUGUUGGGUGCUCUAGUGCUGCUAACCCUGCUGUCUCUAACCAACUUCUUAGUGGUUGGUGUUUUGGUUAGCGAGACAGUAACAAAGCUGGAACCAAAGGCACACACUAUUGAAUUUAGGAAAUCUUUGACUUAAGUGGCAAUUUAAUCACAUCACUUGCUACUGAUCACAGAUUAUUCAUUAUGUAUGGCAAGAUGGGAGUUAUUAAUUCUUUAUAUUUCCCUAAUUAUAGAUUUCUUCAUAUACUUGUGAUAUAUGAAAUGUUUCUAUAGAACUAAUAGUACCAAAAAGGUUUAAACUGUUGGGCACAAGUCUUUUGAUGACUCAUUUAAAGCCCUUUGAAUGUUCUUGCCUAAACUAAUAUAAAAGUACAAGUCAUAGUAAUGGCUUUUUGAAUGUCAGAUAUAUGAACUUAUCAGUGAAUUUGUCCUUGGAUUUUAUAUAAAUAGAGGUGGAUUGUGGUCUAUUAUGCUGUAAUGCUUCAGUUCAUGCUUAAUCAGCAUUUGAGUUUACCUUUUGUUAUUGCUUAAGGUACAACGACUUAUGACAAUGGUGACAUGAAAGUCACUGUGACAACAAGCGAGAUCUCUCGAGAAGAGGAAAGUGAUUCAGAUGAAAAGACAGAGGCAGCAAUACCCCAAUCAGUUGGAGCUUCUAAAAAGCACAAUGUGCCUGUGAGCAAGACAAAACCUUUGAAAAAAGUUGCAAAACGAAAAUCACGGCCCAAGCUGCAACGUAAAAGAGAUAAAAGGAAGGGACCGGAAAAGACCAAGAAGAGGCGCUAGGUUUUGGUCUUCCCUUUCCCGAUUCGUUGAGGUUGUAGGAUCAACAUGUCUUUCCAAUAGAGAAAUAUGAAGUAGUGAACUCAGCUGCCCAGAACUUCCAUUUGGGUCUGUAGAGUUUUUGGUUGUUUGAAUCAAGCUUUUAGUUGUAUACUGCCCAUUUUUGUAUUAGACCUUUGAUUGAAAUGGGAUGUGUUACAUUUUUCCGUUCUGCAUAAUCUCUUUAUAUUUCUUUUGGAUAUAUUGUAUCUUUCAUCCUUUACUGCAUAUGUUGUAGCAUCUUUGUUAAAGUGAAGCUGUCUUCCCUUUAUAGAGGAAUUCAAUUUGUUGAACAGAUUUAAUUAUUAAAGUAGUAAUGAUGGGCAAUGGAAAUACUUAGGUGUGACCGUUACACACGUAUAAAUAAUAAUAAAUACACGUAUUAUGACACAAGGGAAUUUUAUUAUGACACAAGGGAAUUGUAGUAUCACGUGGUGGUGUGAUAAUCACCGGAAGAAUUUAUCAAGUCAGAUGGAAAUAAAAGAACUCAUUCAUUACACAUAACCAGAAAGAAAUGUCCUAAUCAUAAAAUGAAGUUGCUUAGCAAAGUAAACAAAUUGAAAUAGUAAAUACCAGAAGUUUUGGUGCUUGUUCGUAUCAGAUUAGUAGGAAGAAAAAUUGCAGUUUGAUUCCUUAAGCAUGCUUGACUUUCUUCAUCACUCAUUUCUUUUAAUACUUGUUCAUUUUCGGAAAAAAUUGCAGUUUGAUUUCUUUUAAUACUCGUUCAUUUUCGGAAAAAAUAAAAUCUUAAAUUACACGGCUACAAUCGCCAAAGCACACAAUUUUUCUGGACCCAUACAAACACACGCAAGCACCCCCGAAGACUCACGUGGCCAAUCAUUAAAAAAUUCAAAAGAUUCCUAAACUUCAAUGGAUCCAACGGUCCUUAUCGGCCGAUUGUCUGCUCGCAAAAGAUCUCAGCCACCCGACCAAGGGGCAGCGAGAGAUUCGCCACUGUUUGGAGCAAAAGAAAAAAAAGAAAAGAAAAGAGGGCCACUGUAAGCCCAGCACACUGGGACAAAAAGCCUAUCUCUCUCUUUUAAUUGUUUCAAAGACGUUAGCGAGAGAAAAUUCGCAGACGCUUCGACGAAACUUCUCAGAUUCCUCAAAUUCUCUCCCUCUCAGGUUUUUUUUUUUCACUUUUUCCCGCUCGCUUUUUUUCCCUACUUUUUCCUUUUCCUCUUAUCCAAUUUGAUUCCACACAUCACACAUGGAAUAAAGCAGAGAACGACUCGUGUUUUGGAUCAGAUUUCGUAUUUUGUUUGGCUGCUCAGAAAACGGAAGAAAGAAAAGAAAUUCGAGUCGUUUUGUUGACUUUUGUUUGUUUAUUGGUGUGUGUUUGCGUCUGGGAAUGGAAAAUUCAAGUCAAACUAAACGUUAGCUCUAAGUGAUUUGUAAGUUUUGUGUAUUUUGUCUGAUUGGUUUCUUCCACUUUCUCAGCAACCAAACAGGAGGUUUAGUUUUGGGAACGGUGAAGAUGCAGACAAGGUACAUGGAGAGAUCGAAUAGUAUGGCGAGGGAGAAGCGAGGUUUGGAUUCGUCUUCAGCUGAAGAAGGCCAGCCAGAUAGGAAACGGCCUGCUCUAGCCAGGUCCUUUUUUGUUUGGUUAAAAAAACUUGGAUUUCCAUUUAAUUUGAAGUAAUUUGUUAAUUGUUUGGGUGUGUUCUGUAACGUAAAAAUGGAUAUGAAAUCUGUUAGAAUUUUGUGUUUUGUGUGAGAAAUAUUGGAACUUGAAGUGUUGAACUGAUAAAUGUGCUAUAGAAACUCAAAACUCAUUUAUAUGUUGUGAAUAAUAUGUAAAAAGUACAAUUAAGAAGCUUUUGCUCACAGUGCAAUUAUGAUUAAGAAGCUUUUUCCCCCCGCAAAGGUCUUGGUCUCAGUUAUAUGUAAUUAAUUCAUGCCCACUCUAUAAUUUAUGUGUGUUCAUGCCCAACUUCCCAUAUAUCGCAAGUAGGGGCAACUAUAAUGUUCUGGAAUUAAUUUUUUUAUCAUAAGGGAUGGUGGCUGACAUACAAGUCCGCAUUUUCUCUACUUGUGGAGGCGAAAAGAGUGUUGGGGCCCUGUAGUGUGGCACGCAUUUUCUCUAAUUGUGACAUACAAGUCGUCUAAUGACUCUAUCAGAUUCUUUUCAGAUGUCUGAUGCUUCUCUUAUUCUUAAACACAACAAUUUCAUUGUGUUAUCUAAUUCUCUUAGGGAUUAUGUUGGGCACAGUAUCUGGAAAUUAAUCAAUUUUGGCUUAUAUUGUUGUGGAUUCAUGUUAUUCAUUUGUUAGAGAUGGACUUAAAAAACUACUUUUAGAAAAUAAAAAUAAAAUAAAAGAAAGAAAGAAUAUAAGCCUGGAAUGAAUUGAAUGUCUUGAGCAUGAUGAAUGCACUCAAAAUGUUGUUUAUCGAUACUAUUCAACUUAAUGCAGUGUAAUUGUUGAAGCUCUCAAGGUGGAUAGUCUGCAAAAGCUUUGCUCGUCAUUGGAGCCGAUUCUACGUAGAGUUGUAAGAUAUUUUUAUUUUCUUGUGGACUUUUGUCUUCUCUGUGAAAGCUUAAUAUAACUGUCUCUAUAUGAAUGUCUAAUGACCAGUUUUCGAUCCUUUUAUAUAAGUAUAUUGUGUGCGAAGCAUUGUUGGAUGUUUCUUAUUUAUUUAACGCUGCUGAACAGGUUAGUGAAGAGGUGGAGCGUGCUUUGGCAAAAUUAGGCUCUGCCAAACUUACUGGGAGGUAUCAACCCUUUCCCCCGUUUCCUCCUUGUUUGUUAAUGGGUUCCAAUCCUCUGUUGUUUCCAUUUUUCUAUUUAGGCAGUUCUGAUGCCUCCAUAUAAAUAGUUUGUUCUUCUAAUGGGUUCAAAAACAGCAGGUCUUCUCCUAAACAAAUUGGAGGGCCUGAUGGAAGACACUUGCAGCUGCACUUUAGGUCUAGGUUGUCUCUUCCUCUCUUUACUGGUGGAAAAGUAGAAGGGGAGUGGGGUUCUGCAAUCCCUAUUGUCUUGAUUGAUGCAAAUACAAAGCACGUUGUGACAUCAGGCCCAGAGUCUGUGGUGAAACUAGAUGUUGUUGUGCUUGAAGGUGAUUUUAACAAUGAGGAUGAUGAUAACUGGACCCAAGAAGAAUUUGAGAGCCAUGUGGUGAAAGAGCGUGAAGGAAAGAGGCCACUUCUGACUGGGGAUCUGCAAGUGACUCUGAAGGAAGGUGUAGGAACACUAGGGGAGCUAACAUUUACUGAUAACUCUAGCUGGAUUAGGAGCAGAAAAUUCAGGCUAGGACUGAAAGUUGCCUCAGGCUAUUGCGAGGGCAUUCGUAUACGGGAAGCAAAAACAGAUGCCUUUACUGUUAAGGAUCACCGUGGGGAAUGUGAGUUCAUAAUUAGUGUUAUUUCAUGUUUCCUUUGUUUGUUAGCUGAAAAAAAGUCAGAACGGUCAGUUUUGUUUUGUGUGCUUUACAGUAUACAAGAAACACUACCCACCUGCUUUAAAUGAUGAGGUCUGGAGAUUGGAGAAAAUUGGAAAAGAUGGCUCCUUCCAUAAGAGACUGAAUAAAGCUGGAAUUGUUACAGUUGAAGACUUCCUACGACUUGUGGUUAGAGACUCGCAGAGAUUGCGGAAUGUAAGAUUGUGGAAUUGUUUGUCAUGUUCAGAUAAUGAAGUUUCAGUUCCUAAUUAUUUUUCUGUCCAUUUGUCACAGAUUCUUGGAAGUGGCAUGUCGAAUAAGAUGUGGGAUGUCCUUAUACAGCAUGCAAAAACCUGUCUUCUAGUUGGGAAACUCUAUGUCUACUAUCCUGAUGAUGCAAGGAAUGUUGGCGUUGUUUUUAACGAUAUCUACGAGUUGAGCGGCUUAAUUACCAAUGAACAAUUUUACUCUGCCGAUUCACUCUCGGACAGUCAGAAGGUAUGUGACCCUCUGGUUUCUCUUUUUUCAUGUAUAUUUCAUACUGCCUGGAUUUGAUAUAUUUUAUUGUUUUGUGUUCCUUCUUAUAACAACUGAUACUACAAGUGCAAUGUUGUAAACCACUAAACUCAAUUAGGUUGCCUCUGUUUUGUCCAAAUGGGCAAUUCUUUCUCACCGAAGAAUCCAGUCCAUAUGCACUUUCUAUUUUAUUUACAAACAACCCUCUUUCUCCAGAGGAGAUUGACAUGGUUAAUGUAUCUGAAGUGAUGCAAAGUAGUAAUUAGCUGUGAUCCCUCAAAGUUUUAUUGGGGCUGUUAAAGCGAUACUUUUUAUAUGUUAGUAGAUUUUCCAGAAAAGAAUUCUUUAGUUUCUAAACUAUGCCAAAAAGGUGAAUCUGAGAGAAUUGUGAAUGGUUUUGUUUCUUUCAGGUCUAUGUGGACGGUUUGGUGAAGAAGGCAUAUGACAACUGGAUGCAUGUGAUGGAGUAUGAUGGAAAGUCUCUUUUAAACUUUAAGCAGCAGAAGAGUCCAGAGGCUUCUCUACCUGAGGUUCCAUUGGCCACACAAGAUUAUCCAAACUCAUUUGAUCAAUUCACCCUACCUAGCCUACCAAUUUCAGUUUCUGCAGAACAGCCUACUAUGGACUCGGGCCUAAGUGUAGGAGGUAUAUAUAUUUAAUUUUGGCACAAAUUGGUCAUAUUCAAUUAUUCUUUUAACUAGCCCUCCAAACUUGUGUUUUUUUCAAGUGUAGGUAUGUGUUUUAAAAUCCCGAGAUAUGAAAGGAAAAAACUGUUGUUAUGAGUGUUUCGGCUAAACUGUGGUUUCUAACGUCUGUGAAUGCUCUCUCUCUCUCUAGGUUAUAAUGAUGGCAUGGCUACCAGAUUCUCAACACAGAACGUAAAUCUCAGUGCUCCCAUUCAGCUUGAUGGCUUGGCAUUUCCUCUACAGAAUCAGUUGCCUAGCACUUCAAACCAGGCUCAUUUUCAAAGAAAUGAAAACAUGCUUGCCCUCGGUCCCCCACAGUCAUCCACAUCAGGGUUCCAGAAUAUUGGUACAUCCAAUCUUACUUCUUAUAGGGGAGUUGAGGACCUCUUCCCAGAGGAAGAAAUACGUAUGAGGAGCCAUGAGAUGCUUGAAAAUGAAGAUAUGCAGCAUCUACUUCGUAUCUUUAACAUGGGUGGUCAAGGUCACGGUCAUGGUCACGGUUAUGGACAUGCCUCCAUGAACAUUACUGAAGACAAUUAUCCUUAUUCCACAGCAUACAUCCCCACUCCACCAGUGAACUACAGUACUGAUGAUGAUCACAGUCGUUCAUCUGGAAAAGCUGUUGUUGGCUGGCUCAAGCUCAAGGCAGCCCUUAGAUGGGGCAUAUUCAUCAGAAAGAAGGCUGCUGAGAGACGGGCACAGCUAGUUGAGUUGGAUGAUUCAUAAAUAUGACUUGUACGAGGCAAAGCUGAUCGGAUUUUGGUGUCUCUAGGCUUUCGUCUUCCCCGCCCCCCUGAUUCCUGUCAUGCUGCAGCUUCUAACACAAUGGAGGACUAUGGUUGUGGGCAGAUAUCAAUGGAUAAAACCUUAAGUUCGAGCUGUCCUGCUGUUUCUUGGAAUACAAGCCUGACAUUCUUGGGACUGCUCUGCUUGUACAGUUCGUGUGCAAUAAGCUUAUGUCUUCUAUUGACACCUGCUUUUACAGUUGUGUUUUACUGCUGGCAACAUAAAACAACAUUCUUGCCUGCAAGUUCUGAAACCAACAGGAGUUGAGCUGUUUCAACUGAAGGCCUUUGCUAAUCUGAGAAUAGCAUUUCGGAGUGGAAACUUUCCUGUAUAACUAGAGUCUGCGAAGGUUUUUUCUUGUUUACAUUUGUAAGUGAUUAUGAUAGUAUGAGGGUAGGCGAGUUCUACACUCAUUUGCUAGUAUGCUGAACUUUUAUCAUGCCCUUAGUUUGUGUUAGUGGCGAUCUGACACCACUAAUGUGCGUUUUGUGUUGCUUUGUAAUUCGAUAUUAAUAAUUAAAAUUGUUGGAUCGUUUCAUGUUUUCACAUUUCAUCAGCAAUAAGAAGCUCUAUGUUGAUUUAUUUGUUUUUCAAGAACAUAUGGCGAUAGACAUUUCAUCUUAUUUUUCAUGAUCAUCAAAGCUUCGUUCUUUUUCUUUUUUGGGGUAGAAGGUAUUUUGUUAAAUUGAGUUUGCAAAGAAAUUCAGAUGUUACUCGUACCAAAAAGCAACCUCCGAUUUUUUUGGUUUUGGUCGACAAUAAAAGUCCAAUUUUCAGUUCUCUAUUUUAUAUUUACAAAAUGUAAAGUAAUUACGAGAGAAAAAUAAUUAUGACACAUGCUCUGGAAACAAAAUUUAAAACACAUUUGUUUGCGAGAACAAAAUUAUGAUACACGCCGAGGCAGAGAAUGUAAAACAAACAAAUUUGUCCUAGGCGUGAGUGAGAAAUUAAUUUAUAUAUACAAGUCAUUCUGCAUCUGAGACUUCGUCUUCAUCUUCCUCCAGAAUGUAGACCAAGGCACGUUUUCUUGCAGCAAAAACACAAGCCACGCCUCUUGAUGCUGUUACAACAAAUUCAGCCAAUAUUUCAAAAAACAAAAACAAAAACACGCACAAUUCCCAUGUUGCAGACACAAGUGAUAGAACAAGUUGAUUUGAACUCAGAAUUAAAGAACUUACAACUGACUGCCAGUGGAGCAAUAACAGAGUGAGGUAUACUGCGAACCUUCUCAUUCUCCAUUUGCAAGUGAAAGACAGAGUCCUAAAUGUACAUGUUUUAGAAAAGUAUCAUAUACCACAGAGCAACAUGCGAACAGAGAGAACGGGGGUCACAGGAUUUUUUUAUAUUAAGUAAUUUAACACAAUCAAUGCGUGAGGGAGCAAAAAUUAGAAUUACCUCUAGUUGAUGCAACUUCCAGUAGUUUAGACCAGUGGAUCUUGAGAUAGAUACAAAGGGAAGGUCAUUUACUUGCACAAUCAUCAUAGAAGCAUUUCCAGAACUUUCAGAAGUGGCAGUUGUUUCAUUCAAUAACAGAACAAUCUGACUUUCCUGUUAUAUAUUAUAAAGCACUUUAAGUGACCUUCCAAAAAACAAAAAUUGAGAUGACUGCACAUGGUAACUUAGGUCUUUACCUUAUAUAAGGAAAGAUCCGCACAGCAAUAACCACCAGGUACACACAAUAAUACAGCUUCUAGUGAAGUAUAACCCCUCUUUACACUGAUCGAGUCAUGCAUAAACCCUCUCACUAUGCCUAUACAAUUCGAAACUCCGGAGAAAGAACCAUCUGGUAUUUGGAAAGAUAUGUAAUCAAGAAGCAUGUGUUGACUCUGAUGAGAAGAGACAGAUUGGGAGGCAUCCUAUGGAGUAUGAAAGAAAACAAAGAGUUAAUGUCAUUGAUAGUGAAUUUUAAGUAUUGGAAUCCCUUUUUGAUUUUUCUGAAUAAUAGAACAAUUGCUGGUUGAUCACGCAUGUUAAAAACAUCCUCAAUUGCAAAAACAAUAAAUACCUUGUAAUACGAUACUGACAUCGGAAUGGUGGAAGACAAAGAUGCUGACGAAGGUGGAAGAGGGCAAAGCGGCAAUAAAUCCCCGCACAGUAUCUUUCUUGAAAUUGUAGUAAAAGGCAUCCGAAAAGCCUCCUUAAAACUAAAAGAACAAGGGGGCAACUGUAAGUUCAAAUAGAAAAAGCACGUACUAUUCAAAAAAUGUAUGUAGACAUGCUUAUAUGUGAGUGUGUGCACGCCCACUUGCUUGUCUUUGUCAAUGACUCGGUGUAAAGUUAAUCAAGCAGGAUCUCAUUUUCAUUUCAUGUUACUUGGGAAAGUUUUGGAGUAAAGAAUAAACAAAUUUAUACUUUCAUGGUGACUGAAGUAAUUAAGUUAAGUUUACUGGCUGCAGUAAAAGGAAAAAAAUUUUGAUAACUAGAACCACUAAAAACAGGAAUGGUGAUUUGAAAUCAUUAAAGCAAUAUUUCUCUGAUCUCUGUCAGAGAGCUCAUAAUAGAUUAACAUUUUCCUUUAACAGUAAAUAAUGAUAUGGUUACAUUUUGAGGAAUGGAAGCACGUCAAUUUAUGAGACUGCAGGUUCCAUGGAAAAAUUUAUAGAUGAGGGCAUGGAAAUCCCCCAAACUGAACUUAUUCGCCAACCAUCUACGUACCUAGACUCCACCUGCUGAAAUUCCUUGGCUAAAGUCCUUUGCAGAUAUUCAAAAUCUGAAAAUCCCCCAAACUGAACUAAUUCUUUAACUCUCUGCAUUGUCUCCCUGAAAACAAGGCAACUUCAUACUGUUUAGAGAUUUAAUAUGAGAAUCCAUAUACUUGCAGAAUUGCCACACAUGCAAGCACACAUGUCCAUUCUUCAUAUGCACAUGCAUGUAUACAGAUAUGCACGAAGUAUCUGGUGUUUUUAAUUUGGAUGUGCUCUGCAGGCAAUAAGGAUAUUAGAUAUCAAACCAUCUGCAGCUGUACAAAAUAGAUGGCUACAGAUAAGCCAUAACUAUGAUAUGCAUAAAAGAUACUAAAUGAUAGAAUAUACCAAUUGAGAAAAUGGUUGUACUAUAGACUAGAUUGUCCGUCAGUGUAAUUUAAAAACAACUUACAAACCAACUUCAAUAUGGUCAUCAGCUUCUGAUGCUUCCAGCAACUGCUUCACAGGAUCUUGAUCGUAUAAAAACUUCAAGAAUAUAACAACAAGUUCACUGCCAAAGUGUUAUGUUGUGAGUUAAAGAAUAUAUGCUGGUAUCCAGAUGAAACAAAGAAGAAUAUGUGGCACAGACCUAUUGUACGGUAGAAGAUGAUGAUCACUAGGUUCUGACAUAAGUAACUUUAUACAUUUCAACAGCCAGUUGAAGAAAUUUGAAAACUGAAAGAAAAUACGUCAGAAUUUCAGAAAUUAAGAAACUUUUCAUUUUGUACAGAACAUAAUCAUCAAACUGCCUGAAUUAUUAUACUUCUUCAGUUAUUUCUAAUGUUAGUCUUCUUAAAAGUUCAGGUGGCUUUUUGGAGUUAAAUAACAAUGGUUUCUCUAAAUUAACAGAAAAUCAUCUUAAGAUAUCCGAGCAACUAUCAUUUCUGACUACAGCCUAUGUAGUAAAUAUAGUUGGCAACAGUGAAGGAAAAAAAAAGUAGGAAAUCUGCUAGAUCAUGCAUAUAGUUAUACAAGCAAUAUUUAUUCUCCAUCUGAGAACAUUCUAAAAUAAACGAGCUUUUAAGAUGCAAACAAACCUGCUGCACCACAGUUGAAAGCACCCUAAUAAAUCGUUCUACUUGUAUAAGUAUCAUUCCAGCUUUCUCUGUCGCAUUAUUGAUGAGUGCCUCAUCCAAACCAAUACCCUGAUAUCUUGCUCGCCAUCUUGAAAGGCCUCUUAGUUCGCCCAUCCUGAAUGCAAUAAUUUCUGCAGCAGGCUGGAAAAAGGCAGUUAUGUUUAGUUUGCACCCAAACCCUUUGAUAGAAGGAACAUUAGAAAACAGGAUCAUAUAUAUUAGGCAGCAGGUUUACUACUUCUGUAAACAUAAACAUGGAUCAAUUUGUGAACUUUAAAAAAAGGUAAAUAAUAUUUCCUACUUCCGCCAGUUUCAUAUCCAUGUAUGAGAAGCAUUGUAUUUUAAUAUAGAUACUGAUCAGGGAACUAUUAAGUGAUGUACCUUUUUGUACAAGAUGAUACCAACAAAAAGUAGAACAAAAAUCAAUUGCUCCUAACAGGAAACUAUUGCAUCAACAGCAAGAGCUAACAAUAACGCACCUGGAGAUGAUUUAGGACAAUAAGCUGAAGUUCUUUCCCGGCACCACAAACAGCCUUUGACACGCGCUUCACACCCUAUUAGUAAAUACACUUGUUGAAUCCACUAUGCUCUCAUGUUCACUUUUUUUAGCAUAUCACUAAAUGCUAAUGUCAAAAGAGGUUUCUAUAUAGGACUAAGCAUACCACUUCACCAAGAGAGUUAACUAGAAAUUGAUGAACGGCUGGACUAGUCCUUGCACCACCUAAAAGACUCAAAAACUCUUCUUGGGGACAAGAGUCCAGUCCUAUAUACAAAUGGUAGGAAAUGUAUGAAUGGAAAACUAAAAUAAGCAAGAACUGCAUCAAGAAAGAGGGAUAUAGAGUCAUUGAGAAGUUACCAUUGUCAAUAAUCAGAUUAGAAAGAGAAUCAAACUUUUCAUGAAAAGUGUGCAUAGCAUCAGACCAUUGCUUAUGCAUAACUGAAAGUGAUGCCCGAAUAACCUCAACCAAUUCCUCAAUGUUAGAAGCUUGUUGAGCCACUUGGUGAAGCUCAUUUUUCCUACAAUGAGAAAGACAGUCAUAAAACAUUAUAAAUGCAGAAGGGAAAUCAACAGUUGAGUAGAAAACAUAAAUGGGGUGCAAUACUAAGCAUGACUAUGUCAACUACGUCUAAACUGAUGUCGGAGCCCAAAACUUUACAUCUAGAGCAGUUAUUGGUAAGCAUUGAAACAGUGAACAAAAAGAUAAAAAGAAAGAGAUGAUAGAGAUGAUAGAGACUAGCAAUAUGUGGUAUCCUGGUUUUUAUAAGAAAGCUACCUCUUCCAAAAUAUAGAUGUAUCAAGCACUGUGCAGUGUAAGCCACGCACACCAUGUUGAGUCAUUGACCUGUUUUCUGAUUCUUUCCUAUCUUCACUCAAUUCUCCUGAACAUAUGACUAUCAAAUGACAAAGAUCUUUUGACAAAGCAACCUAAUGACAACAUGUAACAACAUCAGCUUGAUCUGGUAAAGUAUUUUUCUGUUGGCCUGCGAAAAGCUUCAAAAAUGAAGCAUAUGAUGUUAAAGUGAAAUAAAAUAAAAUAAAAGGUAAAACUGGAAAUUAUGAUAGCAUUAGGAAAUGGAAAAAUCCUAACAGAAAGAAAUCUUCCAAGACCAUGACAGUAACUUUGCCAUCAAUUAUUCCCCACAUGCAGAAGUACUAAACUGAAAUAAGGAUGAAUGUACCUUGUGAACAGAAGCAUUCUGAAGUCUGCACUCAGCUUUUGUAUCCAUAAGCAGAGUAGGAACAAAGAAGUUGUGUAUGUUCUGGCACAUUGCAAGUGCGUUAAAUAUUAAAGAUAACAGAGGCAGUUAAGUGAUAUAUCACACAUAAACUGAAAUAAGUAGUUUAACAUAAUAAAGCAUUAUCAACUCCAUCACUUUUUAAGAAUGCUUCACAUGUUACAACUUACAAUUUUCCCUAUUGAGAAAAUCCCAAAUAUGCUGAAGCAAAUGAAUCCAUCUUUGUCCCCACUACAGAGGAUAUUAAAUCGUUGCUGUGAAGAAUUUGACAGCUCUCGAAAUGAAUCUUCACUAUCAUCUAUAAAACCAGUAUCUCCAGAUACCAGUCCAGGCAUCCGUGGAACUCUUGGAGGAGGUGGGAAGUAAUGAGGAGUACGGUCUUCAUAUGUUGAUAUGCUGCCCUGCUCAUCCUGAAAUUAGUUUUCAAGAAAUGGAUUGAAAUGAGACCAUACAUUGCCGCUAAAAAACAAACUCAUCUCCCCUCCUUUCCCCCCUUCUUCUCCCCCAACCCAACACCAACCCCAUCCCCCCCCCCCCCCCCCCAAUUUAGAGGAAAAAUACUAACAAAGAUGAUUCCUGAAAGCUUCUAUAAAAAUUAUAUCAGAAAUAGAGUCAGAUUAAUAUUGUUAUGUCAUAAAUUUCGAUAUAUAUAUUUUGGUAAAUUAACUCUAAUCUCAAAUUUCUAAAGUAUAAUGAAACAUCAGAAGUUCAAAAAAGUUAGCAAGUAAAUAUGGAAGCAAGAGCAUGGUUAAACAUCCAGGCAAAAGUUUUGUAAGAAGAGAUAUAUUUCUGGCUGAAAUUUAACACACACAAAAAAGUUCAAGUAAAUAAAAACAAAGUGAUUUUCACCCACUAAACCCAAAUUGGUGCAUGGCCUACAAUUAGAUCGAUAACGACAUACUUUAUUCAUCUGUCCAUCCUCCUCCCAGUUAAGAGAAACAACAGCAACACCAUGGGAUUUUAAGCUUCUCAGCAACUUUCCGUUCUGCCUUGCAUUAAAAAAUCAUAAAUGAAGAGCCAAAAAAAUAGAAAAGCAUAGGUUAUAACUUCAUAUCGUAAAAAAUGUUUAUGCUACUUACUUCAACAUCGUGCAAUGAAACUGUUCCAUCUUCAAGCCCAACAGCAAUUGCUUUACCAUCAGGACGCCAACAUAAUGAUGUUAUGCUCUUUCCUAGUCAAAAUUCAGAAAUAGAAAAGAAAAGAAAAGUACCACUAAGCUCACACUCAAAGCACUCAAGACGAGAAUAACAUAAAAUCAGAGAGAGAGAGAGAGAGAGAGAUACCGGGAGAGACUGUCCACAACCUCUGCCAAUUAAAACGGUGCAGCAAAAUCUUGGAGUCUUCAGUGACCAUAGCCAGCAAAUCCUUCUCGGGGUUCCAUUCUGCAAUUUUAAUCUGCCAUUCAAAAUUCAAAGUUACAAAGACCGAAUUUGGCACGCUGCCACAUAUACAUUGGGGAUUUUAUUGAGAAAUUGUAAAAGAAACCUGAGAGGCAACUGGCUUAUCGAACUGAAGCUGAAAGGGAAGCACUCGUUGAGCCUCAUCAGUUUCCAUGGCAAAAUCUGCACACAGAAAAAGUCUGUGAACCGCAGUUUGCUUACAGAACCUUAAAUCUUGAUAGCACCAGAAUGAAUGGGAGCAGAAACGGUGCCGUUUAGAGAAGAAGAAGAAGAUAUCUGACUGAGCGGUGAAUUCUGAUCAGUGAAGAGUGAAGAGAGGGGGAUGUGAGUUGAGAGAGAGAGAGAGAGAGAGAGAGGGAGAUUGAAAAUGAGGGCGGGCUUUUUUUAUUUUUGGGUUUUAAAGCCCGAGGCCCUAAACCGAAGGCCGUGGAAAUCGAAAAAUUCAGAUCAAAUGUCCAAAAGCAAAAAAUUAAUAAAGAUAAAAACGCCGUUGCCGGGGAUCGAACCCGGGUCACCCGCGUGACAGGCGGGAAUACUUACCACUAUACUACAACGACUCCAUUGAUAAUAAUAGAUUGAAAAUAGAUAUUUCACAGCUAAUAACUUGUUUAAGAAUUUCUUUCGCCUUGUGUUUUGUUUCUUCUACUGAAGCCCAAAAAUGAUUCUCUGCUAAAUUUGAGGCUUGGCACAAGUCACGACCCAGCUUCGAACUGAAGCUGCGGACCCUAUUUUUGGCGGCAAGACCAAAUACAGCCUAAAGCCAAGUAGCUAACGCAGUUGAUCAGUGAGGCUUAAGCUCAAGCUUAAGCAAUGGGAGAAGAAGAGCAGCGUCGCCAACCCCAUUCGCCCAACCCAGACACAGAAAUUACUGAAAACCCAACGGAGCAAGACUACGCUUGGCCUGCGAUUCGGUUCGAUGUUCCUCCACAGAGAACCUACCACUUCUGCCACCAGUUCAGAGCUUCUCCAAACCCCAACAACUUUCUCAAGGGCGUCAAAUGGUACAUGUUGCACCAACCCUUGCUUUCUCAUUCUUUUGUUUUCUUUCCAAAUUUUGGUUUUUUAUUUUGUGUUUAAUUUUUUGGGUUUAGGUCUCCAGAUGGGUCGUGCUUUCUUACCAGUUCCGAGGACAAUAUGCUUCGUGUUUUCGCAUUGUAAGUUUUCCAUUGAUUGCAUUGUGUGGAUUGUGGAGAGUACAAAAGAGCAAUGUAAAUUGUAUUUGAGUAAAGCAGUGCCAUUUGGUUUGGGUAACAAUUUUCGGUUUUACUUUCUGGCCUUUAUAACUACUCAAAAUGCAAUUCAAAAAACCAACUUUCUCAAAUUGUAAAAAUGGUGUCUGCUACUGCUAGCUUUAUAUUGGACAAAAACAAGUUUUGCUAACUAUACUCUUGUUUGCUUCUUAACCAGACCAGAUUAUGGGAGUGAUAAUGUUAACGCGUGUUCUGUAGCUGCUGAUGAAGGUAAGUUCGCUUUCAGAAGAUAUUAGUCUAAAAUUUUAUUAUAUUAUGUACUAAUAUUAGUUUCUUCCAAAUAUAUUCUCAUGAAAAGAAUAAAAGUUUUUGCUUGGUAUUAUUUGUGAAUGAAAGUCUUCAUUGUCGAGCUAGGUUUGAUUAGUUUGUAUUUGCAUCUAAGUGAAGUCAUCCUUUUUAAGCUUUUAUUUUUUUACUCUUAAGCUGCAGAUUCCUAUGCUGCAAACAGUGUUGUGAAUGAGGGAGAGUCCGUAUAUGACUUCUGUUGGUACCCGUACAUGUCUGCUUCAGGUAUCUUUGCAACUCUGUCAUGGGGAGAACCUGUUAAGUUUAUCCUAUUAUUAUUAUUAUGACAAUGAGAAUCUCCAUUUGAUAUUUCAAAAUAUAUAUUUUAUAGCGGCUGAUGUAAUACUCUAAGCUAAAGCUUGAUUUGGAAUCUUGGUUGGCAUUUGCAGACCCGGUUACCAGUGUUUUUGCAACAACAUCUCGUGACCAUCCAAUUCAUCUUUGGGAUGCUUCUUCGGGGCAGGUGCUGGCUCAUUAUUGCAAGUCUUCAUUAUGCAAAUAAAAUUAAUAUCUUUGUAAAGUUUACCACUUGAUAUGUCAUUGCAACAUAUACAAUUCGGCUAUUCCAUGUUUAGAUCACUGUGUUCCCUUGUAUAUGAAGUUCUGAUAUGUAUCUGGGGAUUCAAUAUUAGUGUAUUUCAUUAACACCAUUUUCUUUGGCUUAAAAUUGCAGCUACGUUGCACGUAUCGUGCUUAUGAUGCCGUGGAUGAAAUCACAGCUGCCUUUUCAAUUGCCUUUAAUCCCACUGGAACGAAGUAAGAAAGAUCUUCUGCUUUUUUUCUUUCUUUUUUCCUUUUUCAAAGGUUAUACAAUUUAAUCACAUGUUUUGUGCUUUAGUUUUUGUAUUAUUACUUUCAUGUUUGAGAAUAUAAAUUUUGUGGAAUUUAAAUGGACAUCGAAUCCUGGAUUUCAAUAUUGGACACUAUGCAUGUAAGUUCUUACAAUAAACUGUGAUAUAACUGUAAGACACCAUGUGGAA
rnacentral:lncRNA from 1 species